AAAGGGUCGAGAAGGUUUAAUCGUAAAUCGUAUUACGAUCAAAUAACCACGUUCUGAGCGUCCUUUCGAACGACCAGCACCAACUAUUGUGUUGCCCGGUGAAAUGAGGUCCGCAGAGAUUUACGGGCGCAUCCUUUAUGCUUCCGCGAAACUGCAUGUAUGAGAGCUAGUGGAAACGGGAUGUACUCUCUCGGUGUUCGUGACGAAUGAGAAUCGCGACUGAAUCCUGUGAUCCGUGAUUAAAGUUUCUGCGGUCUCUCAGUACUGCAACAGAGUUCGAUUCGAUCGAGCUACUGAACAUUUUUUUCCCCGGGAAAGUGGAGGAUCAGCCGGCGAACAAAACGUACGGCAUUUGCGAGGGUGUUUCGUUAUUCGAGGAAAUCCGAUAAUACGGUGGUUCGCGGUGCUGUAGGUGAAUAUUUGGUAAUAGAAGUUUCUUCAUACUAUCCAUAUGGGACAUUUUGAGGUACUCUGUUUAAGAAUAUUAUUAUUAUAAAUAUAUUUUCUUGCUUAGUAUUAAUGUAAUUAUUCUGAAAUAUUUUCUCGACUAAACUAAGGUGUUAAUUGACAGGAUAAAAUCAAUCAUACGAUUCGAUCUCUAAAAUUCUACUGGUAAAUAAAUAAUACUCUUUUUAAGAGCAUUAUUUUUUAAAAUAUAUUUUCUCAUUUAGUAUUAAUCAAAUUGCCUUGAAAUAUUUCCUCGAAUAAACUAAAGUGUUAAUUGGCAGGGUAGAAUUAGUUAUAUUAAUCGAUCUUUAGAACUCUACUCGUAAAUAAGUAAUUUUUCACGCUUAUUCGAUACUUUCUUUUUCUUCUCAUUACAUUUAAUGGAAGCCUUGCUCAACAAUAUACGUUCAAACAUCUCUAUUGAUGCACGUGUAUCACAUUCUUGCGGUACCCUCGAUGAAAUCGGUAUUCUGCGUACGACACAGUAAUCUGAUGCGGAUACUUCAGUCGAAUCGUUUCGAUCAGAGAUUGGCGAGUCGAAUCGAGACGGUCGUCGAUAUCGGAGGUCGCGGUACCGUUCGAUACAUAAUUUGAUCGAACGUGUAUCGCUGCUGAUCCGAUACCUCAGACUGGACGCAAACAAAUUAAACCGGCAAACAGGUCGAUCGUGAUAUCUGUUGGCGAGAUUCAGUCGAAGGAUACCGCGUCGAUCGAAUUGAUUAAAUGAAGUGAACGAAGAGAAAGCCCGAUCAAAUCGAAGUCUCGUUACACCGUUCGACCACCGUUGAUGCUACUUUUAAAUGAUUCCUUUCUUUAAAACCUGAAAUAAUCGCGAUCUUCUUGCGCGAACGUCGCCGAUUUCUAAUGUCUCGUUUCCAUUGGCUUAUUUAUGGUCACGAUUCAUCUUGUAUCUGGAAAUCGGACGUGUAAUUGAACACGGUGUUGGCUGCGAUCGAACGAGACGUUGUCUCCGCUGAAUGAAGUGUAAUUCAAUAGUAACAGGAGAAUGUCUGAUUCGAUGUUUCCAUCCUAUGAUUUAUCGGCCGAUCAUUUUAUUCUUCACUCCUUAGUUGAGAUUUCGUGAAAUAUUUCACUGUACGUUCCUUUGACUGACGCUAAUAUUGCAAAAUUAAACUAAGUCAUGUGUUCCAUACAUAGUUAAUAUUUCCGAUAGCUAGCGAAUAUUAUGAAUAUUUUAGAAUUGAAAUUAAAAAUUAAAGUAUUCGUGUCACAUUUAUCUGAACACAUAUUAAUUCACUGAUCUCUAUUCUUACAUUCAUUUGACUGAUUUCAUUAAAUAUUUCAAAUGAAGUUCUAAUCGCAGUCGUUAUUGAAAAAGAUCUGAGAGAUCUUAAGAGGGUCUGAUCCACUUAUACUGGCUUGAAAUUUUUCGAAACGAUAAAAAGUUGGAACAAGUCGUCGAGGAGCGUUUCGGUGGGCUAAUCGAGUCGUUCGAUCGGUCGUCGAUAGCCUCGUUAGCGAUCCGUUUCUUCUCUUCUAGAGCAUCGAACGGUCAUUUGAGUGAAUCGAGUGAUGGUCAGUGAAGAUACGGAAGAAACGAACUAACUUAAUUUCUUACUGUGAAUGGUCCAUUCGACUUAUUACGUUUCUCACGCUCGACACGACUCGAUGCUGAUCUCCCGUUGCCUUUUUACUUCGUCCUAGAAUCGUGAAAUUAUUAGCGAAUUUUUCGGUACAACGAUUCGCGUAAUCGGAAUAGACGCAUUUUUUAUCGUACCAUUCAUUUUCUACGAAACCCAAUGAAUGUUAUUUAGGUAUAGAAAUUCAGUGAUAAUUUGGUGAUAUUGGAUAGUUUUAAAGGGAUGAAAAUAACAGAUCUCAAAUAUCCCAAUUUUAAUUAUAAAAUUUAUUUAAAUGUUUUUGUUGAAAUAUACGUUGACUUUUAUCGAGAUAAAGAAUUAUUGAACAUACUGGUUUGAAUUUCAUACGUGAUCUAUUUAUGCUUCUAUUUUAUUUUCAAUCUAAAAUUUAGCGUGCAUUAAACGCCGGUAGUUCUAUUAUUAAAAAUGGUAAAAAUUGAAGUGAAAUUUUUAAAAAUGUAUCUAUGCAGUUCCGGAUUUCCUGUUCAGCUCAACAAACAUUGAUCGUAACCAUAAUACACACGGGAAACUUCAUCCACGAGAAAAAGAGUGGGUCGUUAAUAAAUCGUAAAUCCUUUUCGUCUGUUUUUUGUCGUUCCCGUCACGAAGGAUUAAAUUGAUGAUUUCGAGCGAAGCGUGUUUUACGCGUCGCGAAUUACAGUCUGUCGACGUGGUUGCACAGAAAACUGACGGCUGCAACUCAUAAUCGCGGCUGUCGAUAAUUGACGUGGCACGGAUUACCGUUAACUGAAUCGACCGGCUCGAGAAUCCCUCAUUUUUACGCUUUAUUAAUUCCGCGGAUUCGUUUUGCGCCACCCCGUUCACCAGGGAAAUCCAUCAGCCUUCCACUUCCCUUCCGGCUACGUGUCUCUGUUGGCUCGUUUCCGAUUCUCUGCGCACACUUUUCCGUUACGAUGCCAAGAACAAUCAAACCUGAAUUUACUAAAUUACGAUGAUCAAUAACUGUUUCCGAAAAGAACAUUUUUCUGUGGACACUUUUCCUUGAAAAUUUUCUACCCUUCUGAUUUAUUUCCUUUGUUAUAAAACAUAAGUCAAACUGAAGAUAAAUAAUUCCGUGAAAUUCUCAGCUGAGACAGGUCUGCUGCCUUGUUACAGAAUGACAGAUUCAUUUGAAAUAACUCUAAAGAUAAAGGUUGGAUUUCCGAGCUCGUGAAACGAAGAGUAUUCAAAAUCUCGUAGAACCUUGAACCCGGUGUGUUUUCACCAAGAUUAUCUCGAGUAUUUUACUAGGUAGAUAGCGAAAGAAAGCGUCAAGGGAACGCUUCUUGGGAAGAUAAACUUCAGCUUCAUAAAGAAUCGUUGAGAGUUCAGAUUGCUCUCCCGACAGUUUUGUGGAAUGAAGAGCUGAUACGAACGAAACGGAAACUAAUUCAGUAGCUUUCGUCAGAUAAACGUUGGUAAUCUCUCAAUGGAGAUUAUAGAACAUCUGGCCCGAAGUCUAUUGACACUUUUCCACUGAACAAAGGAUUUCAGUUUGUUUGAAAGACUUCAAAGAACCCUUUUCAUCUUAAUUACCAAAGUGCUGCUUCGUUCCAAGUACAACACGAUCUAUUAAUCUAUUUAUAAAAACUAGAAAUAAUUUUUGAAUAUGCUGUAACUUGAAAUCGCAAUAAAUUACAAUGGUGAAUGAUACAGCCGCGACGAUGAGAAUCAUAAACAAGAUGCAAAGGAAAGGUAAGAAGAAUCAAAGCGUUGCUAGUCGACGAUUACAGCUUUUUCUUUUCGCAUUAUUCCCGCGAACUACCAGGAAAAUUCACGAAGCUGCCAGACGAAGGAAUUAAUCCGGCCCGCAAUCGCGUCUACGCUCGCUUUAGCUGCAUUUUUGCAUCGGGUUUCGGAGCUGUUCCCCGGCCUCGUCGACUUUUGCCACCGGAUUACAUCGGAUUCCUUUGUGCAAUCGCCGCUAGUAUCUCGCCCUUUUUCAUCCCUUUCGCCAACCCUUUGUACGCUCGUCACCUUACAACUCUCUCGCGUUGCCGUCUUUCGUUUCUUCUUUCCUGACGAACGACCGCCAAGCCAAGCCGAGUCGAGCCGAGUUGCGGCAGAAAUCUUAUCUGCUUUUCAACGUACAAGCACCGUCUCGCAUAUAAUUUUCGCGUGCCGAGAGAAAGGAGAAAAAGAUAGGACGUAGAAAGCGAGGAAGAGAAAAAGAAGAGAGAAAGAUGAAGAGAGUGGAGAAAUGGUCAAUACGCGCGGCUUGGAACCUUUCUACGCAUAAUGCUGAGAUUAGAGUGAUCCAUGUGUGCAACGCCAGCUUCGCUCCACGGCUUGGUAUCGAGGUUAUAUUCAUUUUUAAUGGCCGAAUUAAUGGAGCCGGAUUACGCGUCACUCGGCUCGAAUCAUUUCUUUGCAAAUCCCUGUGGGAUCGCGAACAUUCUCCAAUUAAACGAUCCUGUUGUGUCCUCGCUCCGACGAAUUGAAUUGAAUUAUCACAGUGUCCUUAUGAAAUUCAUUAAAAAUUCAUUAGACGACGCGACGCUUGGAGAUAAUUUGCAUCAAUGUUUGAGUUUGAUUAGAAAACAUUUUCAAUUAUGAAAGAAAUCGAAUGAUUCUAUUUCCGAAAAGCAUGGAAAAAUUAAAAUUGUUUGAUUAGAUUUUUGAAAGAAAUUCAAAGUUUUUCAAUGAUAAACUCUUUGUUUUGUAGAUCUACUGGUUCAAAUGACUGCGCUUGAAAGUUAUUAGAGUACAACUUAUGAUAUUUGGGGCAAUUUCGUUGAAAAGCAAGAAACACAGUGGCUGGGAAGUGCAUGCACGCGCGCGGACUUUCCGAUUGUUUUAUGAAAUCCGAGACAAUUUGUCGGGGAAUUCAGUGUAAAUGGCGCGAGAUGGGUGACGCGCGCGCUACCAGCGGCUGGCCGUUUUGUUGGAAUGUGAAAUGAGUCGGGACGAGAGGGAAAAUUAAUUUAGCUGGGGUACGGUGCAGAGAAGUCUCUCCACUUUGACAAGUGUCCGCUUUACCACGCACGAUUCGCCGGAUUAGCCGUGUUAACGCGUGAGAAUCUGCUUCUUCCGGCGUAAACUCGCUCCGUCCGCGAUGCAAAUUUCACGGCACGCGAGCCGAUUACGCGAAGAUUUCCAUUUCGUGCCUCGUCGCUUCGGAUUUUGUUUCCACCGGCCUAAAUCUGUGUGUUCAGAAUCGGAUCAAACUGAAACAGUUCAAUUUCUGAUUCCUAUAAUUAUUAUAAAUAUUCGUAAAUCUGACUGCAGUUAAAAGAAAUCUAAAUUCAUCAUUUCUCAUUUUUGUAAAUUUCUUGUUUUUUAAUUUAAGAACAACCAACAGUGUUUUCAAGAUGUUUUGAAAUCAGUCUCAAAGGAAAUGUGCUCUCCUUGUAACAUUGCAGUUUCUCUUUUAAAUACACGUAUUCGUUUGCAAAUAAAUCACUAGUGUACACAGAGAAGUUAACGAUAUUCCAAAACGGGCAGCGUUUCUACCUGAAAGUUAAAGCCCAUGUAACCCGAGAUUACCUGGGAUUUUCAGAAUUUUAUCUUUCCCGGAAGUGAAGGGAAGUGUGUGGUUAGACCGGCUGGUUGCAGCCCUUUGAAGCAUUUCUUCACUUAGCUUUACGGAAUCAAUAAUUCAAGAAUUUCUCGGUGCUCGUUUGCUACCAAAUGAAAAGACGGUGAACAGGAAAGAAAGUAUAAAAAAAGAAUUAAGAGAAUUGGUGUAUUUCAACGACCUAUCCACCGUGUUCUUCGAGUGGAUGGCCAAGGAGAUUGAAUCGACUGUGCAAAACUAACUAAAAUUUCUACCAAGUUUCUUUCUUGAAAUAUUUAAUGAAAACAGCAUUUCUCUAUUUACGAUCAUGAAAAGAAAUUUAUUGCUUCAAGAACUAUCGUGCAAAAAUGUUUCACCGCGAAAUCAAUAUUUUAUCGAAUAUUUCGAUACAGAGGAUACACAGUUUCAUUUGAUCGUUUGAGAAACAGAAGAAGAGUUUGAAUAUCGAGUGACUCGACUAUUACCGGGUAAUGAGGUUUCGAUUCGGUAGAUAGGAUUUUUAUGAGACAACAAAGGGAAAGUCGAAGCUGACGCUCGCGCUCGACUGACUAGGCGUAAUUUUCAUGAGCCGUAAGCUUCAGUCUAUUUCACAUGAAUGGAUAUACCAAAGUAAUAUUGUCCCGGGUAUUUGAUUUGCUUGGUUUAAAGCUCUGCUUUACGUCAAGCGAUUUUUCUAAAGUAUCUACAAUUGUUCAGAAUUAUUCGACAGAGUUAUUGUUCCAUGAAAUUUCUAAGAAAUUUCAACGUUUGUGCUAUCUCGAUCAUUUGAACCUUUUUAAAUUAUAUAAUUUAUAAUCUUGUUACACGAUGAAAGGGUUUCAGGUCGUUCAGUGGCAAAGUUAAAAGCUGUUUAACUUUUUAAGGCGGAGCAAAAUCGCGAGGUUUCGAGCAGCGUUCUGAAUAAAACAUAACAAGCUUCAAACGAGCGCAAUUCAUUAACCAACUAAAUGGGAACAUGUCGCUCGCAUGGCCAUAACUUUCGAAACUGCGUGCAAGCCAACUGCGAAGUUGCAUUUCGUGUAUCGAGCAGCCGAAAUAUUCAGGCUUGACCAACGACCGACCGCACAAUCAUUCACCAAUUUUAUCAUUUAGCCUCGACCGAUACAACAUUUCCUUGUCUGUCCUUUCCCCCCGAGCCUUUCUAUACCUCAUUAGUCCGUGAUUUUCAUUUUAUAGUUUCAACGAAAUUGCUUAGUUCGCGACUACCCUUAAUGAACGAUGUUCUCGACGUCCAUUGGAAAUUCGUUAAACACUUUUCUGACUCGUGGGAAACUAAUGAUACGUGAUAGAGUUCGAUUUUCCCUCGAAUUUCCUUAUUCGAUGUGCACUUUAAAUAUUCGUGUUUUAAUUAAAGUGAAAUUUUAGGAUGUUAAUUGUUUUGUAAUUAACGUUUAAAAUAUUUAAAUUACAUUUUUCCAUGAAAAGUAGACGAUGGUGAAAUAAACCAUAAAAUAACUUAAACAAAAUAUCAUCGAUGAUGCACGUCGACUCUGAAAAAAGAAAAUUCAAUUUGAAAUCCAUCGAUAUUGCAUUGAAUCGAAGGUGUUGAUCAACGAUCGAAGGAUUAAUCUGGCACUAAAACUAUCGUAUUUUUUUCGGUGUCUAAUUUUCCGCAUAAAAUGUUGGUCGUCCCCGAAUGAAAUUACAUCUCGUCAGUAUAAAAGCGUCGACCCGUUCCGGAUCGUUUACCAGGAUUCUUCGAGGGAAGUCGUGCGGGCUCGGUUCCUCGGAUACAUUCGCCGUCGACGAUAGUAAUGGCCUCGUCGUGAAAAGGACGCCGGAGUCAUUGUGCCGGCAUAAAGAAAGCGUGGAUGCGAGCCCAGCGCCCCAUUUCUACCCCUUUCUACCCUCAGGUUUUAUCUGUAAAUAAUACUUCCGUGCUUUCCGCGAGUUUAUACGUUAUUUCGCUGAUGUACAACGCACGCGUACGCGCACCCUCUCGCUGCUCCUGUUUCCGCCACCCUUCUAUCCGCGUUUUAUCCUCCCCCUUUUACCGCGCCGAACUUUACCCUAGUAUGUUUAAAUAAGAACGUCGAAUCAUCUUCUUUUGCCGACGACGUAAUAAAAACCACGGUUAUUUAUAUGCCACGCGUCAUUUUGUUUUCGGGGGUGGAAGAAUUAUACCGAGGUUCCUUUCCAGCGGUCCUAUUGUUCAAUGUUCUGAGAAGAACCGGGGGUAGAAAAAUUUAUCGUCAAUUUUAAGGAAUGGUCGUUUCGUGCCGGAUAUAUUGAUAUUGUUUUUAAGGUCAGUAGUUUUCUUCGGGAUCCGAAUUGAUGAUCUCUGAACGUUGGGUAGCUCAGAUAGUUCAGUUCUUUAGGAUAUGAUGGUACAAUCAUCUAAGUGAAGCUUUUGAUAAAAAAUUGUAUUUUAGGUGGAGAUCGUUUUGGUCUACAUUCGUGAAUUGAUAUUUCUGUUAGACCAUUAUGGAACAGUUAGUAUAUGAUAUUCAGAUUCUAAUUAACAUAAGUUAUUGUGUAGAUAUUAUUCAAAUAAAAGCUUCAUCGUGGACAAUAAACAAAAAUCCUUGGUGAAAAAAUUUAAUUGCAAGCUCGUUGUCUCCGCAGUAAAUUAUAAUAGACUGGUAGACAAAGGCAGAAAUAAGUAUAAACGUCCAUUUAUACUCAACCGUAACGUCACCGUAGCUACCCUCUCUUCCUGUCUAUUCUCUUCGUAUAUGUUAUGGUCUGCAUACGACGUCGAGUACAUCAUCCACUAUUUUCCUUUUUUCUCUCUUUUUUUGGAAAAUGAACAAGGAGAAGCUGUUGAGUAUAAACGACUCUUUGUACCUGUGGUAUAUUAAGGAAUAAAAAAUGAAACGAGAAGAAUCCAAACGUUUGUUAAAAGUUUAACAGGGCGUCAGAAUCGCGCACGUAAUUACGAUCUCUCAUCAAGGAACACGCAUCAUGCAACCUGCUUAUCGACUGGCCACUCUUGUAACGCAAGGUUUAAUGAACCGUGAUUUACAUAACAAUCAGCUUCCUAGAGAAAAUAUAACUCCUACGAUUAAUUGCCCUCUAACUCUCCGUCUACGCAACGCAAUUUUUAUUACCCGCCUGUGAACGAAACGUUUCCCUUUACCCGUUUCCAACCCCAUGGUGCGGUGCUUAGAUUCCGUGAAAAACGCUCGUCCAUUAACCGAGUUUGUCAACUUUAUUCAGGCCAGCGUGAAGCUAUGAAACGUCGUGUUAUUCAUGCAUGGCCGUGUAUCACGCAUCUUUUCCGCUUCGUGCAACCAGUUCAGAAAGUCGUCGUUUCACGAAAAUUUCUUUCGUCAUCCCUUUCAAAUAAAUCGACAGAAGUGCUUUCGAUCGUAUCUCAACAAUGCCAACCGUAUGAUAAAACAAGAGAUCGAACUCUCGAAGAGCAUAUAAUAAUUACAAAAAAUAUUUCCAACAAUAAGUGUAAUUUAUUUUGAAAAGAAAUAACAUUUGAUGAUACAAACCAUUUUAUAAAAUGGGUACACAUGAUUUUUUGGAUCCAUGUUUAUGAAAUAUCUUUUUAUUCCUUCAUUUUGAUGUAUACUAUAUCCCCCUGGAAUUUGGCGCAACCUUUUUUGCACACCCUCCGUGUAUCCGCACCAUCAUAAAAAUGUAAAACGACUUUAUUUAUAUGACGCGCGUGGUGUACGCACCGCACAGGCUAAGGGUGAAACUGACCCCGUUGGGAUGGCAUUUAGCUUCCGGUUUCGCGCACCGCUACAUUGUCCUUUUCCCCCCUUGUUGCCUGACAUCCUGCCGGCAUUUGUAACACAAUGGAGCCGGCGUAACUAGUUUCGGAUCACGUAGCUUGUCCUAAAAUAUUGACGGGCUCGUUGCUACGAUAAAUAUUAGCUGCAUUGAAGUUUGUAGAGUCGAUUCGUGAGAAUUUUGAACAAUUAGGGGAAUACGUUUUGUUCCUUUCCUCUCUUUCUACUAUUUCUGGUGAUUCAUUUAUCGUAUUGGUUUGAACAAUUUUCUUACGAUGGUAAAUACAAGUUCAGGAAAGAUCAGGAUUUUUCGCUCAAAUAUUUUAACAAUGGCAACGAACUAGGGUGUUGAAGAUACAUCCAGGGAGAUUUUACGCGUUGAGUAUAGCUUUUCGUCUAGAUAAAAGCACGGAAGUGUUUCGAGGUCAGCCUCGUUUCUUAAAAAUGUGGCACCCUGCUUGAGGCUGCGAUGGUGGUCUUAAAAUGUCUUCCUCGUCUUUGCCCCUGAAAUAGCUGUCUCCACCGAACACAUCUUUUUGCGAGACAAUGGACUUGCCGUCGCAUCCUGAGCAUGAAAGCUCCCAUAAAUGCUUCUUCUUUUAAUAUAUUAGGAAGGCGUGCAAGCAUGUUCGUGUCGGCUCUGACAAUAUUUUAUACAAGAAUCAUUUUCAGAUAAACUUCGCUUACAGUAUUAUUCUCGAUGAUUGUUACUGUUUCUUUAAAACACCAACUUCCCAUGAAAUCAAGUGUUGACUCGAGGUGAAAGUUUAAAUUUUAAUAGUCCUUCUAAAGCGGAAGUCCCCCGUGGUUUUGACGAGUGUUGUUCCGUGCACACGACCGUUCAUAUUAAAGCAGCCCUCAGGUCCGCCACUUAAACCACUCGACGGAAAAUGCAAAAGAAUCACGCGCCAACGCUCACCCCUUCGACGAGGAUUUCGUUAAUCUGCCCUGUCAUGCAUUCGGAAUGAUCCAGGCCGAGUGUGUACGUACGCGAUAAAUUUAUCGGCCCCGAUGAAAUUUCGGGCCUCGAUAUUGCCUUAUGAACGUCCGUACUGCGGGCGAUGAUUAACCGAAGAGAAAGGGGUUUGAGUCUCGUACACGGAUUAAAUUUAAUUUCUUCUCGCUUCGUUUAACACUUUGCUUUGUGCCCUGGAAGAGCACUGGGCGCAUUGUUCGAGAUUCUUCAUUCGUUUGCGUUAAAUGCAACGGGAGAAUUUAUUUUAAAGAAACUCGCAUUGAUGGCGGUCAGAAAAAGGUAAUUAUGCGGGCAAAUAUUUUUCAAAGCUCGUUUUCUAACAGUCGUACGAGGACGAAUUAAUUCCUGGUUCGUAUUUUGAACAGGAUAACGAGAAAACGAAUUAUAAUUUAUUCUACGAAUCCUGUAUAAAUCGGGAGCAGCUCGUUUGGGAAAAAGAUAUACCGAGGUUCGUGCGAAAGAGCCGAGCAACGAAGAUGCGAAAUUAUGAGGGUGCAAUCGUUCCGAUACGCGAGAGUCUCGCGAAUAUUUCGCGUUCUCGGGUAAUAAAAUGGACUUCACGUUUCAAGAGCUGCAUUCAUCGCGUCCGUUCUUUUCUUCUAUUUCCAUUUUUACCCCUUUCUGCUGGCGUAAAUAGAUUUACGAGCGGAUUGCAGGAUCGUUCGAGCGUUCCUUUAUUACCUAAACGAUGAAUGCACUUUUCGUUUCGUCGUCGCUCCAGUUUCUCUCCUCGCGAAUGAAAAUAGGUUUCGGUACGCAACGGCUAACCGGUUUUAUCGUUUGUUUCUUAUACCGCUACCAAAGAAGACAAUGAGAGUUUUGCGAAAUCCGUGAAAAUCUUAAUGAAAGUUCACGUGUCAAGUAUAUUGAAUUAUAGUGUCAAGACGUUCGUUUAAAUCGCUCCUCUUUAUCCGACACUUGUUAUGUGUGCGUACGCGAUAAAUCUGUCAGGCUCGUUGAAAGUUCGGCUCGUAACUUAGUAAGUUCGCGACAUUAUGCAAGUCCACAAAGGUUGAAUCGCGAAACUAGGAACAGCAUGGACGAAAGUUCAAGGAUCUCAUGCAAAUUUCAUCUUCUUCGGCUAAUAAAAUACAGCCACGUCUUAUGGUCGGCGUAAAGCCCGCAGAUUUCACGGCUGCUUGCAUAUCCUAUUCCUAUACUCUUUAACGCGUCGCCAUGCUGUUAAUUCGUACCCCGGUAUUCUCGGUAUUUUUCUUCCGCAUUUCUUUCUUUACUUUGUAACAACUUUUCACCGUUCAAAUUUUUUCGCCAGUGUAUGAUAUAUAGAAUCGUACGGUCACAGUAUGCAUCGAGAAUGAAAUUUUACGAUUCAAUGCCUCGUUUAAUAUUUAGCAUCGCUAGUGCAGUUUCAGCGGUGUUUGUAAAUAAUGAAAAAUCUUGGACGACGCAUUUAAAUAAAGAUAAGGUGAAACGCGCGAACGGUUGAUCAAUUUUUUAGGCGUAUCGUAAAAGCAAAGCUGCGACGAGGAUUCGGCUGCUAAUUUCUUCCUGAAUGGCCAAUAAAGUGCCAACAAGCGCGUAUAAAUCGUAAAAUUUGGACGGCCGUUAUGCGUGCGCUUGAUAAAUUCGCGGGAUGUAUCCGAAGAAGCGGCGGGUAGGUAGAAUGGGUGAAUUUAUCCGGAAGAACAAAAAGAGCGGAGGACUCGAGCGUCUGAUGCAAAUUCCCUGCUCUCUUCCAGCUAAUAAAAUUGCAGAGGCGAUGGCUCCGGAGCCAGCGAGUACGCUUAGCUGCUCGCCGCACUUCCGUCGCCCAGGAGGGUGUGUUUUCCAGCUGUGUAAACAGAUUUUAUGCGGGGCGUAACCACGAGAUGCACGCGGAAUAUCGUUCAUUGUCUAUUCCGAAAAGUUACUUACACCCGAUGACUCUUCUCGUCUAAUCUGAAUUCGAUAGCUUUUUUUCCCCGACCUUAAAGUGGUCUCAUGAAAAUAACCGAAGAUUCUGAUGCAUUUAAGAUACUAUUUCUUAGUCCUUCCACAUAGAUAUAUUUUACUAGCGUUAGAAAUUUAAUAAAAUAACAGAAAUCAAUUAGUAACGCAAGAGCGAAAAAUGCACCAUUUGCUAACGAAACGUGUGAAUUUAUUCCGUGAUCUGGAGCUGGAUAUUCAGCAAUACAAAGAGUUAUGGCUUCCAUAAAUAUUCCAAACGCAACAGUAUCGUUAUAAGUAUUCACGGAGAUCGUGGAGAAGAAAAUCGACCACUCGUCGGGUUAUCUGUGUACAAGUAAAUCGUUGAUUAAUUCGCAAGAUCGAUCGCGGAACGAGAGCAAUUCGUCCCCGGCGUCAACGCGGCGAACGAUUAAUUGCGAUUGCUAAGCGAACUGGUCAGCUGAACAACGAUUGUCUGACUAAUGGAAUUAAUGAUCGGUCGGUUUCGUAACGCGAUCGGUGAUAAAUUCGAUUCUUAGUCGAGCGGAUCGCUUUUGUCGGGAAACUAUGCAGAGCGAACAGAACUUGGAAAUCACAGAAGUAUUUCUGCCCGAUCUUACAAUCCUCUAUUUAACUCCUCUUUCAUAUCAGCCUCGCGAAUAAAACUGGUCGCAAAAGCGAAAGAUAAAAGGGGUUAAAAAGGGAGAAGCAAUGAAAGCUCCUCGUGGCAUGCCUCGCAACCAAGUUAUCGCGAGCUGCUUUUCUCUCGAAACCCCUGUAUUUUGCGGUGGUAAAAGGUAGCACAGGUCGUUGGUCGUUGAGUGGACUGUCACAAUGAGUUCACAGGAGAAGCAGCAUGGAACGAUAGCCACCGGCAAUCGUAGCUGCAUAACCAUGGAGACCCCUGUGUCGUUCAGAUAUCGUCAAUUGUGUGGAUAGUUACACGCCAUCGGUUGAAUUAAUGCCUAGGAAUUCUGUUUUAGGGUGUUACGUUGAAUUUUUGAAUCCUUCAAAGUUAAUAUAAAAAAUAUAAAACCUGCUUUAUUUCAAACACUGUCGUUCCUCUUUCCUUUUAGAAAUUUUAUUGUAGCAGUUGCGUUAUUUUUUUUUUUAAGUCAACCUAAAAGAUAGCAUCAACAGUACGAUAACAAAGAACAUACUUUUAUACGAGACUGCUGCUUAUUUAGCUAUUUUGAGUUCUUAACGAAUGCAGUAGCUUUUGAAAGACCCGCGAGCUUAAAUUAUCUCGUUUCUGUUCUUCCCUGGCAACCAACCUGGCACAAAGUCCAGACACGUUUAGGCGUUUUCAACUUCAUUUUCAUAUCUCGCGCACGUGUUCUCACUCGUUCGUUCGCCGUUAAAUCCGAAUUGAUUAACGAUACUCCGAAUUUUAUAGCGACCUGAUAAUUUAAUUAAUGGCAAAUCAGUUUGCGACACUAUCACGAGAAGCGCUUAAAUAAACUUCCUCUCGCAUGUACCGAGAAGCAGGACUAAUUUAGAGUAAGUUCGAGGCAGUAGGGAUGAUCUAAGACUUUCGUACGACGAUGGCCGUCGUUAAGCCGUGCAGCAUGUGCAAGCGUCGCGACGCGUGUACAUGCACCUGGUGUGUAUCUGCUUGUUCCUCCUCGUCCUCGUCGCCCUCCUUCUUAGCACGUGACGCUAGCAGUUUCAGAAUUUCGGCAAUUAGCGACGCUGACAAUACCGUCAGCGAUGCAGACAGACUUUGCGAAACGAGGCCGGGAACACGGCUCGCUAUUAAAUUAAUCGACGUAAUCUCUGUUUACCAGCGGGGCUGCGCGUUUUCCGUGAAGCCCGGCUAGGUAUCGUGGUUUAAUUGCGAGAAGAUAAUGCUCGGGGAAAUUCGCGGCGGACCUGGCCGUUAUGGUCGCCGAUAAUCGAGCGGAAUUGUAAUUCUCGCCGGUUGUAAUUGCAAUUAGGACCGGGAACUCGAGACCGCGCGAUCGUUUCGGAAGAAUGGAGAUUUAAAAUAUGGAGAUUGCGCUCGACGAAGGCUCAUUUCGCUUGAGUAAUUAGUUGGUACGAUAGCGAUGAUAUUGUUGCAGCUAAUGCAACCACCAGGAUAUUCGCUGGCAAUGCGUGCUCGGCAGCUAUUAAGGACACGAGGUGACGACCGUCGAAUCGUUUCGUGGAUCGAAAAUUGCUUUGUUCUGCUGCUGAUACUGGUGAAAAACGUCUGCAGUAGUUUUGCGGAUCAUUAGAUAUAAGGGUAUAAAAAAUAGACUUGCAGAUUUGUUUUAUUGUUUUAUUAAUUAUUUCUUUCUAUGACUAAAUACAUUUAUUUAAAAAUGAGUCAAUUUUAAAAUUUCAAUUCCGAAGCUGAUAAGAGCAGUAAUUAGUAGUCGAAAGAGGUAAAAGGUCAGCGUAAUACCGUCGAAACGAUGAGCUCCCGUUUAUUUGAAAUAAUAAUUAGAUUCGUUUUGUUAUUUCAAUGAAGAAGCACGGAUUUGAGAGGGUUUGCGUGGGCAACGCGGUAUGCAGAUCCGAAAAAUAGCGAGAGCAGAAAAUAAACUUCCAUGCUUUGAGUCAAAAUAAACAUGCCCCUCGUUCGGAUUCGUUCAGAAAAAGCUCCAGGUUUCUGAAGCUUCGAGGGUCGUGUACCUAGCGCAGAAAUAAUACUCGAUCGCGGUUUAGUGGAUAUUGCGGCAUAAUCGAACGGUAUGAUACGAGAAAUUUUAUCAUGAAUCUCGGAAAUCACGCGAAAAAUGGAGAUAGAAAAAUCCAAUGGGUUAUCUCAGUUAAGGAAUUAUUUUACGCUUUCGUCUCGAUGUGUCGUUAACCUACUUCGCUAAUUAAAUUGAAAAUUUAACCGCGAAAAUUUAUUUCGCUCCUUUUUAUAAAUAUCAUUUCUCGUUGCUCAUCAGCUAGAUUAUAUCUGUAAAUAGAAUAAGGUUAAAUGGUCAUUUUGUUCUCUGAUAAAUCCCAUUAAAUUCUGUAUUAAGAUCCAUGGUCGGUGAUACGGUGAAACGGUCGCGAAUAACACGCAACCUCUCAACGGCUGCGAACGCUUUCGUUAGAUAGAAUUUAAGAGGUGCAUUCGUCACGAAUUAGAAACGAAGAUAACCCCCUUUUGUUUUCAUUUGCAUCGAGCAACCGUGUUAAAUGCACCUUCUGUAUCGGUUGCCGGCGAUCUUAUCGUUGGCCUGAUAACCGCCUUUCAGCCUCCGGGGUUGCUCGCAAAUCUCGGAAACGUUUAACGCUUUUUCACUGUCGUCGACCACGGAACCAGCCAGGAUAUUCACCCUGAAUUCAAGUAGACUCUGCAUUCGACGAUUUACGACAGUUCUCUCGGCUCUCUACUCGCUCGAACCUUCUACCUUUUCGCGCUCUUUAUCAGCUAAAAGGCAUUAGAGAGCCGUUUUCGGAUCGACCCAUAAAAGAUAAUAUAUUUUGCGUGAAACACAGCGUAACCUUCGCCUCCCAUACUGCUUUCCUGAAAUCUGAAAACUCGAUGCAGAUUACUUCGUAAAAGUUUGCCCGAUUACGAUGAUCUGUGAGCUCUUUCGUCGACCUCCAUCAGCAUCUUGUCUUUAUACAAAUAUUCAGUUGAAUUAUUUUACUAAGAAUUCCUAUGCAAUUUAUCCUGCGUUUCGAAACGGAUCGCAUCUUCGAUCAAUCACGACUGCUUCUUUAUUUUUCUAUGCAUACACUCUCGCUAGUAGUAUGUUGAUUUAGAACACCUCGUGGUAACAUCCAGCCUAACAUUCUCUAAUAACUCAGGCUGGUAGCAUUCAAAUAAAUAAAUUCAAUUGUAAAAAUAUCCUCGAAAUAUAUCAUAAUUCUCUGGUGGUAGUCAGUAGAGAGGAGGGUUUUGAACUGCUUGCGAAUAUUUGCAAACGGAUCUUGACUUAUCUCGAGAUAAGUGGAGGUCUGCGUGACCUAGCAUAAGAAUUCCUUUCCACCGUCCAUUCAAACGAAUUUUUUCCUCCGACGAAAAGGGGAGAAAAAGUUUCCUUCCCGCGGGAGACGAAGGAGAAUUACGUGGGUACACGGCUUCUGAUUAAAGUCCUACAGGCAAGAUGUUUGAUAAGCAGAUACUCCCGGUGAACGUCGUCUUACGACGUACCGGUCGAUAGCGAAACUCCCUCGAAAACUGCGACAACGUGUCUGAGAUCUGUUCACCGGCAAGCAAUGAUCUGGAGAUAUCGCAGAGAAGGGUCUUGAUAAUUGCUCGCAAACUUUGAUUCGCAGAAACGGAUCGUGAAUUAUUUUUGCCAGACGUAUUCUAAGAAUUAAAAAGCUGAAACUUCGUCAGUAUACACUCGGUAUUGUUUAAUCUUACCAAUUAAUCCCGGCAACUCGGAGGAAGUUUAUAAAACCCUGAAGUUUCUCAGUUUCUAAGGGUACGUGCGUAGUCGCGAGUUUAGUCGUUAUCAUUGGCGUGGAUCUUAAAUCGCGGAUUAUUCGCGAGAUAAGGAACAGAUGCAACGAAUCCUUCCGGUAUGCGCGCCUCGAAUAGACACGUUUCAACUGUUCUCGCUUACCAGAUGGUACCCCGCAGGUUUGUUCUCAGAAGAAGAUCUGGCUGGCGAUGGAGAAAGAGAGCGAAAGCUAUGGGAGAAUCAAAAAGACAAAGAGAUAGACAGAUGAGAAGGCGGAGAGCGUGCCACGAGGCACAGAAGUUUCUUCGAGUCGAAACGUAGAGCAAGUUGGAAGCGAAUGGAAGUGGGAUAAAUUCGUCGAAGCCGAACCGAACUGGGCUGAAUCCUAAUUACGACGACCUGGAGAAAAUAGCGAACGUGACCCACGACUGAACUUCAUCUCCGGAAACGAGUUAAGAGGCUGGGGGAUGGUUGAACGAAUGGCAGGAAUAUCGCUGCCAGCGAAAGCUUCUUCUCGCAGAUGGAUCGAGGUUACGCGUCCAUUUCGUUCCGUGGAACGUCCCAGGGGUUGCAUCGCGCUGUCAACCUUCCUUCGCAGAUGAAAUUAACGCCUCGACUUGUCGCGUCCCGCUUGGGCUGCUGCCCUGUCUUGCAACUUCCGGGGUAUGAAAGUCGUCAAAGUUUUCGGAAAAUCUUCCUGGAAGGUGAAAAUCUUCCAGCUUCAUACUUGGAGUUCUACCCGCCUCCUAAUAUUCGUAUUCGUUUUAGAAUUAAUUAAGAGGAAGCAAGACAGUCAAUCGAAAUUACAAAAUAUUUAUUUCAAUUUUAUUCAUGGAUUUGCUAAUGGUAAAUUGUCGCGUAACUAACUGAAAUCGUCUUAGUUGCCGCCUCCUUAUGCACUCGGGAGUUCGCGUUCAAAGGGUCGAAAUUUACAUCGACCACUCGACCCGCGAAACAUCUCCCGGCGGAGACCUUGAAACUUUGAACUCGCUCAACGGGGACCAGCUUCUCUCUGCUCGAAAAUUAGCGCUUCUGCUUGAUGUCACGUCUCGCAUCUCGCGCCCUGCUAGCUGUUCUCACGACCUUUGCCCUCCGACCGUGGAACGUACGCUUUCUUCGCACCCUCGAAUCACCCUCCCGGAAGACGUCGCGAAAUUAAGCGCGAUUCCCGAGAAAUUAUGGAGCGUGCUUGCAGGCAGAUUAAUAACGAUUCUCAUGAUGAUUUUAUGGAAAACAGUUCUUUGAAGCUCGAAGUGAGACGUUUUCUGUCUUAUCACCGAGGGCUUUGUUUGAUAAAAAAGAAAAAAGAAAGUGCUGAUAGAAACUGAAAAGUGAUUCAGUAACGUUAGUUGAGACUUCGUAAUCCAAAGUUUUGUCCGAGUUAAUUUUAAAGUUAGUCGAGUUACCCUCAACUUGGAAACUUUUGUUGAUAUAAGAAGAAAGAAAGAAGAUGAUUGGAUGGAGAAACUGUUCCUGAUUGUACGAAACGUUGCACCCUCAAGUGUUUCAGCUUUGAAGAACAAUAUCGGAAGGGUUAUUAUUGAUGGGAAUAUUAGGAAUAAACAUUUUAUAAAAGCUGUUCCUUUCUUAGCUAUCCACAGUCCAUUGAUGCGACAAUAAUCGAUAAUCGUGGGGGCUGUAAAAUGGAACGCGUUGAUAGGUUUUCUUACAUAAAUCACGGGACUCUAUACUGUUCAGGCGUAUCAGGUUUUUAGGGCUUCGUGAAGCAUCGUUGAACUGAAACAGUAACCAUAAACUCACAUGCAACUUUUCUGCGAAUAUUAUACACGAAAUCCAAUAUAAUGAUUAUUUUAUUGCCUAGCCUUUGUUAUAGUUUGCCGCGGUUUAAUUACGCGUGAAUACAAAGGGUAUGGCUUAUUUUAAUUCAAACUCUACAAUUUGUAGCGUCUUAGUUUAUAAAGGUCAAUGCGUAUACAAUAGACGAAGUCUACCGGCGAAACCGGCAGAGCUGGUAUCGCGCUCAAGGAAAAGAUAAUCCCUUUUCAUAAACACUCGAAUUAUCGGCGAGCGACCGAGCUCGACCAUACAUUCAGUCGUUCUUGAACCUUCCUCAAGACAACACGCGAACAGACGGAGUCCUUCCAAGCGAAAAUAUAUUGUUCUUCCAUCAAUCCUCAGUGCGUAAGGCGAGACAAACGAGCAAAUGAAAAUCCGAACGCGAAACAGGUGGACAGGUAAAUACGCUGCCAAUCAUAACAUUUAUUGUUCGGUGCCUGGUUCGAGGAAUACGUAAUACGAGGGCAGAAUGUAAGUUUUUUUCAAUUUUCUUGCUCAUUUUUCCUCUGCACGGGUACACAUAUCCAAUCGACGAAAGUUUGUUCAGUAGACAACUCGAUCCUGUUACUCGGAUGAAACUUUCUAUAGAAUUAGUUUAGUUAUCAGGGCACGAGCUACUUUCGUUUGUAACUCACGAAUCAGACUUACGAACAAGAGUUUCGAACAGUUUAUCAUAACAUCGAUAUCGAUUCAUUAUUCGUUAACGUUUUGUCCAACAAUUAUCAGGGAUUUGACGUCUAUCGGGGCAGAUUAACCGUUCCCUAUGCUGAUCAGCAAUUAAUGACCAGUUAAUUCUACGUGCUAAUGAGGUUCUUACUCGGAUCAACCAGUUUACCAGUGAUACUGUUGAAUUCCACCCUCUUCCCUCGAAUUCUCAAUAGGUCGUUUCUCUAAUCGUUGAUACAUAUCACUGUCAAUUACGUGGCAGAUAGUCUGCACUUCCAAUUACUCUGCAUUACAAAGUAAGAUUAGAACCCUUUAAUUUUAUCAUAGACAAGAGUUUUUGGUAUUUAAAAUUGAAGAGAAAUUAUUUUUAUCUUGCACUUGAUACUAAUUCAAAUGAAGUACAGAAUUUUUGGUUAAUUAAAAAUUCAUUAUUGCUGUAGAUUAAGUAUGGAGCCAAGACAGAAAACCCUCGUUUUAUUAAAUGGAUACUAAAUUAUUCUGGUUAAGAAGUUGACAUUUUUAUUCGUAGCAUUAUAGGUUGAUUCCAUGGAUUUAUUAAUAAUUUUUUAAGUGGAUGCCCAGACAGAUGAAAAAUUGAAUGUAAUUAGUUGACCCAGACAUUCUAAUUAUUUCUGUGCAUAAGAUUUUAAAAAUAGCUGCUGUCACUUCACGAAAAUUGUUUCACGUCUGGAAAGAAAUUAGUCCAAAUCUAAUAAGUCAACAAGCAGGAUGGAUUUAUGAGUUAAAAAAGGACUUUCAUAUAAGUGUUAAUGAUGAUGCCUCGUUUUCACGCGUCCAAUUCAUCUCUUUUGAAACGUUCUGUACGUCAGACAACGGAGGAAACGAGAUUCCUGCACGUGCGAAUUCAUAAAACAUUCAUUCGGGUCGUUUCUCGCGACGUAACGGCCUCGCUGAACUUCUACCCCAUGCUCUCCGAUGACAAUGGGAAGAAAUUGAAUGUACAACGCGGAAAAACUGCUUCUCCUCUUUCGCUUGAGAGCACGUGCCGUGUAUCUGGUAACGCGAGAUACGAUCGUUGAUUCGACAGGGUCGUAUUCUCAUUGACUAUGAAUUUAUAACGGCAUAUUCUUCUCGUGAAUUACGACGGUUGAUAUCUUAACCAUUCACACGAGUUGUAUUAACCCUUUUCUUCUUUAAGUAAUCAAAUCCUCGAAUAUUUUAUCGCUCUUUCCAAAGCUUAAAUUAUAAACUAGUCGGUCGUAUAUCUCCAGAUUCCCGGUCGCUGUACAAUAAAAUAAACCACAAAGCAAUUAUCCAUAACCUACAAUAAAUACAGUGAAAUUCGUCGAUAGCAGCGAUUUCCAUACAAGCUAGCUCAAAUCCCAGAACUCGUUCGAGGCUGACCAGGGAGGAUCAUAAAUCUCUGCAAUCUCUAACGAACGCGUUAUAUAAAAAUCGUAGAGCCUGUGUAUUAUCCGCGGGAUACAGCGCGGUAUAGAGCGUGUACGAUGGAAAAAAAAAUGCCUUUUUCCCUCGAGCUGGGUACGCUCCGACGUCGGUUAAUCGAGAUUUUUAUCCUUUCUUUAUUUAACGAAUUUCCCGGGGAAACGAUCUUAAUUGCGAAUCGCGUUACUUUCGCGAGUCCGCGACACGCAGGGCGGAAGAACGAUAAAGGGAUUACCGUGGUGUAGAUUGCGCCGUAAGAAUUAUUGGCCUGCUGCCGAAUACGAUAAUCGCGAGCGAGCGAGCUUCCGUAGCGAUCAAUCUUCAUCGUUUGUCGAUCGCGACGCGAGCGUGUCGCGGAGCCGGCUCGAUCAGCGGAACGAUCAGUCAUUGAUUCUUGUCCUUCGGGGAUGUAUUAUUGACGCAACGAAACGAGGGUUGCGUGGCAGGGAUUACGUGGUACGAUGUUCCGGUGGCUGGAAAACAGACGGCGCCUACGGGGUGUCGUCGUCGAGAGAAAAAAAUGAAUGGCACCCUGUCAGGACGUCCAAACAAUUUCCACGCGCGUCCUUGCUGGCCAAAGACGUUUGCAGAGUGAAAUGUACAUUACUUGGACAUGUUUGAGAUCGUAUUAGAUUAUUUAUCUGCAAAAUCUUCAGCAGCUGCAAUUUGUGUUGAGGCAUCUUUAAUCGAAGAGAUUUAUAUUAUUUUAUAAAGAGGAAGAGCUUUCGAAAUUUUUUGAACUUAUUUAGUAUUUGUUCAUGGUGCAAUAAAAGAAGGGAAUAACGUGGAAAUUUAAGGGAAAAAUUAAUCGAAUAUUUACGAUUACACCGGCUGUUGUUGUUCUAAAAAGUUGCAGCUUUCGUUGCAAUUAUCGACAACGCGAUAGACUAUUAUUAAUAGCCGCACAAUGCGAAUUGCAGAAUACAUUGGGGUCGUACAGAUACAUUUUUUUCCUCGUAAUUGGAACUGAUUCGGAAUCGACGAACCGAUGAACGAAGCCCACCAGACAAAUCAACCGAAUCCCAAUUACCAAUACACGACUGCUUGUUAUAAUUUAUGGAAUACAACGAUCGUGCUGUAGCCAUUUCAAUUUCGAUAUCUAACAAACGGAUGUGCGCUAUUGCUGCUUCGAUUCACGGGGUUCAGUCAGAAAUUCAAAGAGAAUGAUAUUCACUUUCGGUUCAAUUCACCAUUUUGUCCUCUUUUAUUUUUUUUCCCCCUAAAAGUAAAAGGUACCUAUAGAAAUCAUUUCAACCGUAAAAAUGUCUCUUAAACACUUAUUCAUUCAUAAAAUUGUAAGUGUAAUUAAUUAAGAAUUUUGAAUAACUUUCCGUCGGAUUUUAAUUAUCGAAAGGACAGCUUCGCAAACGUGUUUCCUUUUCUUUCGCCUUCAAAAUGCCGUGUCCAUGAUUCGGUAUGCAAGUCACGAGCGCGAAACGGUGGAGAAAAGUGCAAAAGGGUCGAGAGUGUAAAUUCAAAUUAGCUGGAGAUUGUCCGCGAACGUGCGAUCUAGUAAUCUCAUUUAGGUGCAUUUGCUCCGUUAAUCCUGAGAAAUCGUAAGACUUAAAUGUAAUUAGAAACCUAUAAAUGAGCGGCGGUUUUCGGCCGCACCGACGUUCCACGGCCACGACAAAUUGGUUUAAUUUCCUGCUACGUUGGCUGUGCCAUUUUGGAAGAAUAAGAAUUCAUUCGCUGUUUCACGAUUCUCGUUAGACAAAUCGGAUGAACUACAUUCUACGAGCCUCGAUCCUAUUAAUUAGAACCAUAUCCUGUUUGAUGCAACUAGAGGAAAUGACUUCUUCCAUUAGCGAGUUAAUGAGAGAGCUGAGAAAAUUAGAGUAAAACACGAGUCAGAAGUUUAUUUACAAUCAUUAAAUUUCGCUUAAUGGUAUUAAAUUUCUAAUUAAAACACGAUACUUUGAUAAAGUUACCGAGUACACGGCGAAACUAUGCACUUCGAAAACUCGUGUCAGCUAUUAAAAUUUUCCUACCACAGUUUGAUCAUUUCAAUAUUUCAUCAAUUUUCUAAAAUAAUUUCAUUAAUUUCCCCGAUAGUUAAACUUUGCGUUACAGCUUGCAAAUAUUUAAUAUCCCACGUGCUUUCUAUAAUAACUAAAGUUAGUACCUAUCACUGAAGUCUACUAAUUACAAACAUUCGACGGUGUCUCCUAGCGAUGCAGAAAGGGAGAUAAAUACGUGGAAUUAUCAUUAGUACCGAAAACCGAUUAAUAAAGGAUGUAAGCUGUUGAAGGGAGGGUGGUAGAAUUCGAAAUCAAAGGAACUCCCGAGCGUGCACGCAGCUGCAGUGUAACACGCACCGGCAGCCUUCGUGUAUAUUCUCCGAUCGAAUGUAUAAUCAGAAGGCAUAAAGUGCUUACGAUCUUGUAAAGGGUGGAACUGGUGGGCAGAGGGAAAACGGUAAGAGGAUUUCGCGAGCAAUACGCGAAAUUCAACUGUAGGGGGUAAGAUUUAUCGUGAAUAGCGUGCAAUCUUGUACCGCUAGGCGACGUAUGCCGGAAACAUUCCACCCUUCAGUUUAAAUCUUUUUGUGUAUCUAUCAUGUUGGGACAGGGUGAAGUUAAUCUCUGGUUAGUCUGUUAUUCCACAAUGCUUGUUCGCUUGCAUGAUGCUCAAUAAAUUCGGUGAACUUCAUUUAUCUCUUUUUACCCGAGUCAUAAAGCAGACAGUGUCAUAUAUUUUUGAAAAAGAAAAUGUACAUGCAAAGUGAAAUAAGUAAUAGAAAACUAGUGUUUAAUAUUCAACAAGUUUAUUAUCUUUCGUUAGAAAAGAAGAGUGAAUCGAGUCAAAUUAUUUGACAGGAAUAAACGUCAAAAAACAUUGAUAGAGGAUCGGGAAUCGUAAUAAAGGAAAGCCGCAAUAUCGAGAACGCAGUGUUAGUAGCCUUCCAUUCUGUUCCUGUUGCUCGAAUGUUUCCCGAUAUCCAGCGGCGGUUCGCCGACUGCGACUAAAAAGCAUUGCAUUGUUCGGUGGAAAACGCGGCAGGGAUGGCGAACCGUUCGCCAGCAGCCACCGAUCGACGACACACCCCUUCUUGCAGCCCCGGGGCUGCGGGAUACUUUUUAUUAGUUUCUCGAGGUGGCAAUUAAGUGACCGUGCUUCUGGCUCGCGUUUCUCUUUCGACGCGUCUCUCGCUUCACCCUGUCUGUACGUCGCACGUUUUUCCUCUACGGGAACCACCCUUAACGACACUCCACCACUUCUUUCCCGUUCAAUUAGUCGACCGUUGUUUUUCCACGGCGAAUCGAUCAUUAUUGAUUCACGAGCGGCCACGUUCGAUGGAGCGGCGAUUACUGUCGGGGGGGAAGAAAAACGAGAAAAGGGGUUUGCUGGAUCGGCGAAUCGUGCGAAAAUCGAAGAACAAAAGGGACCCUAUUGGGAACUGAAUUUCGGGAUCCGUUUUCCCCCAUAAAGGAAUUAGUCGGAUCGCUGUCGAUGUGCAUAAUCUCGUCGCGUUCGGUGUUUUAUGGAAAUGAACUUUCCUAUAUCGUUGGCGAUUAGAAACGAGAUAGCGACCGUGAACAGUCAGGAAUAAAUGAUGUUUUAUCGAAUAUAUAUGUAGAUAAUUUCCAGUUCAUUAAAUACAUUAACGUGGAUUACCUCCUCCAGAUGAUGUCUCAAUGAUCCAGUAUUCAAUUAAAUGUUGAUUUUCACAUAAUUAUCGAAUCUUUAACGAACCUCGAUUUUAAUGAACUCUUUAAGGCUCGAUAAGAAAAUAGAAUCGUGAAUGAAUGGAAUCCACGAGAAAUCGCGAGAUUUCCUUUUCGUCGUCUUGAAGAGAAUCCUCAGCAUCUACGAAUUAAUAACCUUCGUUGAAAUGGUACUUAAAUGGCUUCGUUAAUUUUGCUCAUUUAGUAGAAUUUUUGCUAAUUAUUUCUAGGGUAAUUAGUAGUUGCUAACAGUUUUCAUCAGCCUACGAUCUGGUUUACAUUCUAUCGAUCUCAAAGUUGCAAAAUGUAAGUAAAAUCGAUUUUCCAAUAUUUAUUUUAAAUAGAGUAAAAAGGUAUUGAAACUUUCUACAAAGCAAUAUUCUCCUUUGUGAUUUUAUUUUACUCGUAUUUUAAUUACUUCCCACGUAUUGGUGUACCAUAGAAUCGUGUGAAACGUUCUCGAUAAAGUCAAGAGAAUAAAACAAUCUCUUCUCGGUAUUCGAUUUUAUUAGUUGUUCUACGAUAUAAACUACAAUUUCAUCGACUAACCGCGCCCGUAGCAAACAAACCUAAGUGUCGAUAAAUUCAUCGAUAAAGAGAGAACACAGAAGAGAACGAUUUCUUUAAAAAGUUUGCAAGAGAAAUAGCCUAUAAAGAGAUGAUAGCCAUCGUGAAUGACCCUGGAACAUGAAAAUAUUCCGCGAUGAGCGGCAAGAAAUUGAUCUAGUUAUAGGUUGCAGCCAUUCGCCGACGAGUAUCGUUAUCAUAGCGGUAAGGUAUUACGAUAGGAUCGUUCGAUCGAUCGAUUGUCAGUGCAAUCUUUCCAGCCGCGAAAUCGUUACAGCCUUUCGCUAGCGUUAAAUCGUUUCACGCAAAUUACCCUCGUAAAUUCGUGGAACUCGCGAGCGACUUUUCAGUCUCGUAAUACCGUGUAAACGUAUAUACGGCACGUUUGUACGUUUUCAUGGGAGAUCCCUUUUCCCCGUUUCCAUUCUUUUUCUUCGGUGCUAAACGUUUUUCACGUUGCGAAAAAAUUAUUGCGUGAAAAAAAAGAGAGUAAUUUGAACGGAAACAAAAGAGCCUCUGUCAAUUUAAAUUCGGAACUUUCAAUGUUACAAACAAUUAUCUUUUUAAUAAGGAAAUAUCGAUAUACCGGUAAGAUAUUAGUAAUAACACCUCUUUGAUCAACUAUCCCUUUUACUAUACGACCCAUCGAUGGCCUCUCAAUUCCUUGCACGAUCCUAAGAUGCAGGAAAUACUAUUGAGGAAAUAGUACGUGCUGCUGGUUGUAAGAUUGCUCGGGGUAUUUGCAUCGAAUUGCAAUACAAUCAAGAGAAUUGACGUUCUGGGGAUCCAACGCGAUCGUUUUGGUAGCUGAACACCGAUGCGUGUGCAAUAUUCAUGGUAAUCGAAUUUGGUAAUGCGAUAAACGUUUAUUGAUAAGACACUUUGGGGAGCGCUCAUUCGUAAUACCGUUUCCGCUGUCGACAUUAAGGGAGAUAUACUGAUUGUUAAAAAGAAAGAAUUUUCUGUCCUUCUGAUAACUUAAAUUAACUAUUAUUCUCUUUUUUUCUUUUUUUUUUUUAAAUUUUCAAUUCCUCGUGUGAUAAAGGAAGGAGAUUCUUAAUAUUCUGACGUAUUCGCGACUUUGAUAUGUCACAUAGUCACCCAUAAAAUCAGAAUCUCUCUACUGUGCGUUAUCUCGAGAGGAGCGAAAGUAAUCCGAGAAUAUCCAAGACGUGAAAAUAUGAGAAAAUCCACGGUCCAAUGGAUCCUAGAAAUCCAUGCAAUCGGGGGUAGAAGAGAUUCGUUUGACCUUUCUUGAUUGCUCGACGCCCGAAAAAUAUCGAAAACGAUUCUGAACGCGGUCGAUUCUCUGCGUGGAACUAUUCGGCGCGAGGGGGAUAUAGGUCAGGACAAGGUUCCUGUGCCGUUCACAAUGGGAACAACAACGGCAUUGUCUAGGCAAGCGGUGAUAAACGGCGCCAUGAUAAAACCGGCCAAGCACGAAGCUGAUGGGUUUCGCUGGCUUGAGGGAUGACCGUCCUGUUGUUUCGGCAAAACCACCCUUCCAUCCUCUGCCGCUCGUCGCCACUCGACUGCAUUUUUCCACUUUAUCAAGCCAUUGCUUGAUCCUCGCCCAUCCUCUUCCCCUCCGCCAGUAACUAUCUUUUAUUUUCUAUUUUAACGUCGGUUUCAUUCACCUUUGGCAGGCUGCUGGAUGCGAAAAAUAUUCUCGAAUAAAUUGCAAUUUUAUGUUCUCUUGGUCAUUGAUCAAACGAAUUUUUUCAAAAGGUAUCCGUAGACGAGGGAACGUCGCUGGUGAUGUCCAUUUGUGUGUGAGAUAUGGUUAGUUCAGUUGCAGAUAAGGGAAAAAUUGAUUCUGAGAUAAUAGGAAUAAGUUUAAGGGAUGAAUUAACCCCCUUACCAAAAUAUCGAGGAAUUCAAAUGCUAUUCUUAUAAAUUUCAAUGAAUUUUUUAUUCAGUUUCUUUGAAAUAUAUAAGUGGUGUUGGUUUUUAUCUUAACAGAGUGGAAGUGCUUUGAAAGAUACGAAUAAUUAUUAAGUUAUUAAUCGUCUAAGAUAUUACCAUUUUUUUUUUCAUCACACUAUAUGCAACGUUCGCGAGGAUUAAUUGAAAACGCUGCGUCGAAGAGUAUCGUUGAAUAAACAGGGUAAACGUUGCAUCUCUCUCCACUUCUGCCUUCAUAAUUUAUUAUAAAUUCCGCCUUUCAUAAAUUCUGUAAUCACUCCCCUUUGUGAAAUUGCUCGACGAACGGAACGGAGUCGCAAUACGACGAGACCAGUUCUCUCGUUUUUAAGGCAAUCAUUUUUAUUUAUUUAUUAUUAUGUUUUUUUUCCUCACCAUCCCAGUCGAAAGUCCCAACGAGGUGAUUAAAAGCUUCUUAGACGGAACUUUUAAAAUUCCACCUUUCUUGUUUGCCUAGAAAGGGAAUUCUUUUCAACUUCCGCUCUCUACAAUAUCAGCAGCGAUCAACGCCACUACCGUGCUCGUCCUUUGAACGUGCCUUAUAAUUCAAGGAACCGAGAAAAACAAUGGUGUAUUUGCAAAAUUCGUGCAAGUAGUCUUAUGUAUCAUUUGCUUUAUCAAUUUUGAUUUAAAAAAGGUUAACAUUCGAGUGCAUAUAAAAUAAUUUUUAAUUAUUACACCGAAAAAUGGAUCUAAUUUUAAUUGUAAGUUUCUUUUAAAAAAUUCUGUUGAUAUGAAUGAUAAUUAACUUUAAUUAAGGUUCAAUUAAGGAACCAUUACUCUAGAACAACGAAGAAUUUACGUAUAAAAACCUUUAAACCUACGUGAAAAAUGGGACGGAGUUUGCCGGAUCCCCCGUUCAAGCCUUAACCGAAGAAUUUAUCCAAGGCUAAGUAUCAAAGAAAUUUUCAAAGUAAUUAUAAGUACGGUAUCGCGCGAAAUUACUUUCGGUGAUGGUGUGUUCGUUACAUUGAAAAAUAGGGGGUGUCAGUGGUCGUACGCUCGAGGGAUUGGACGAUUAAUUAAGUUGACGAAGUAUCAUCGAAUAAUGCAAAUUCUUCGAAUACGCGGUUGAAUGAAAAUUUAGAGAAUCGCAAAUGAAUUCAUUUAAUUGCCACGGGUAUAUUUUAUUUUUUAUCAUAGAAUACUUAUUAAUCAUUUGUUGACCAAUUCUCGAUGGUUCUCAAAUCUGAUCUUUAUACACCAUAAAGGAUUAACAACCACGUGUACAUUAUCAUGGUGGACCAUGGGAACACGAUCGAAACCGGGUAGGUCUGUUUCGGCGGAGGGUAGUAUGUGGCCAGAGGGAUGAAACUGGUCGAGGUUGGCUACGCACAGAAAUUAGACCACGAGUUUCCACAUAGUUUACGAUGCUGACGUGACCAUUUUGUUUACGCGAGAGUUGCUAGAUAACAGGACGGAAUUGUACGUGCAGGAUCGACUCGUGUGUCGAAGAAAUUUUAUGGUUUUGCUACCGCCUCUCUGGUCGAAUUGAAUUUUCGUAGUGGAUAUCGGUAAACGAUUUUUGAAAUGUGAUACUAGAGAUAUCUUCGGGAUAUAAUUCCUUAACGUUUUCUAUUUCACCAAAGUAUCUUUUAGAAAAGGGAGAUGAAAUUUGAGGCUAUUCGUGUGGUAUUUUAGCAUAGUGAAAAAAUUGAAUUUUGAUAAAUUAUUUCGAAAAAUUACAAUUUAAUUUAAUCAAACCACGAGAGAGAAACUAAUUGAAGGAAAACAUUUUUCUUCUUUCUUUUUAAUGUUGAAAAAGGGAAAUAGAAGAUCGUUAUACAUAUGUACCUGUACACGGAAACGAAAGGUUUCGUGUACAGAGUAAACGGGGAAUUGUAAGGGGAAAUUGUUAAACAUUGAAAUGCUCGUAUCGUGUUCCCCGAGGACGUCUGUCUGUCCACGACAAUGAAAACAAAUGGGAGCGGUUUUUCUUGUCCGUGUUUUAUCUUAUUCACCUGGAUGAAUCUCCCUUUCAAUGAACAUUACUCAGCUACAAAUCCCAUAAUGUAAAUUACACUUUCCUAGAAAAACUAUUGCUAACUUUUUCUUUAUUUUCGCAACGACAUACAUUUACCUGAUUAGUUGAUUCGAUCGUGGAACGACACGACUCUCAACAAUCUAUUUAAUCUAAUUUCUGUUAGCAGAAUAAUUGAUCAAUAUUCUGUGACCCAAUUCUCUAAUUUCUCGCGGUUAGAAGCAAUAUUCGUUGAUACCGUAUCGCAAAAGGGGAAAGAAGACUAAACAAUUACUCGUUCCACGCAAUAACCACAAACUCGAUCGGGGAACGAGACGAAAUAAAGUGCUGUGAUUUAUCGCAAUCUCGCGUUUCCCUUCGGGUCGUCGCAACGUCGUCGUCGUCGGCGUCGUUGUCGUCGUCGUAUCGACGUUUCCUGGUCGCAUAGUAGAGCAUUCGCGUAGAAGAGAUGGGUGUGUAUAUCCGACGCUGUCUAUCGGCAAACAUUGCGACGUGUCAGAGUAAAUCUUGCCGGUGUGUACGGGCCGGAAAUUGCCGGGGUACCUUCGCGAGUAACUCGAAAUCAGUAUAUUUACAGUGGAAGAACAAGCCUGUCGGAAUCAGGCGGACGAAUCUUAUCGGAUCGAGCUGACAAUUUGUCCUGAUGCUCUUUGUAAUUGUACUUUCUCGAUGGAUUCGAUAGACAUUGAACGUUGAUACAAUCUUAUCAAUUAAAACGAGUUGAUUGUCUGUCAAUUCCGUUUCCAAUAUUAUUUCUAUUUCAUUAUAACACUUGCCUUUAAUUGAUAAGAAAUAUACAAUCUGAAUUAAUCUAAAGAAAGUAAUAAUAUAGCCUCUCUACCAUCAUCGACGAUUUACAACGGCAGACAUUAAGCGUUCUGCAAAUAAGCUCAAGUAUCCAUUAAGUCCUCUUGAGGGAAGAGUUUCGUUUUAAAGAAAACCGCGGCAUUCGAUAGGAAAAAAAAGUUGCCGAGACCGAUACGAAGAACUUAACCGUAACCUCAUCGUCGAAUUGCGGGUUUGCUUUAUUAUCAGGGAUAAUACGAUUUGCCGGAACACGGAAGACCUUCCACGACCCGCAUCUCUACAAAUCGUUUUACAGGGCCCAUUCAAUUUUGUUCUCUUGCCUGUUCACAUUCAGCUUUUACCUCGCCGCUAUCGAUUCGGCUUUCUUUUUGAUUAAUCGUCCGCUGGAUAUGAUUCUUUCGCGCGGAUAUUUACCUGGGAUUUUCUAUAUUACCCCGACUGGAACGGGAAUGAAAGGAAUUUGAAGAGAGACCGUCGGAUUUGACGUGAAAUAAUGAGAAAAAUUCAUCGUCGGAAUGGUUCGAAUAAGGAGAUCCUUUGUAACCUGUCCGACGUCUUAACUUCCAUAACGAGAGGAACGAAUGGCAAGAUUGCCUCCAGAAAUUAACACAUCAUUUUUUUCCUUGCCAUCCGACGCGAUUCGGGGUUAAUUACUUUCGUAAAGAAAUAUAGAAACAGUUAAAAACACCGGCGAAUCGGAAGAAUAAUAGUACACCUUAUAUAUUUCGAAUUUCACUCUUCAUCCCUGACUUUGUUCGUCGGCGUUCGUUCAGCUGAAUCGACGAGAUUUCCCCUUUUCUUGACUGCAACGAGUAAUUCUGUUUGCUUCGAGCACCUCUACCCGAGACGAUAAAUUACAAACGUUUGCUGUUUAUCCGUUUAAUUCGUCCUGGAAAUAAAGGUGCGGCUGAAGGGGCGCCGUUGAUGAGCACACGCGCGAAUUAAGGAGGGCGUUCACCGUUGCUCAGAAACGGGCACAGUAAAUUGUAACGAUGCUAAAAGUCAUGUCAUAGGUGUGCCAUCGUCGGUGGAUAACAAAGAAAAAAAGAAACGUGUAUAUAAAAAAACCGUAACGAGUCCUUUGAGAACGGGAUAGUUCUACUUUCACACAGGAAUAAUUAAUUGGCAGAAAUUGCGAACGUCGAUUAAAGUGCGUUCUUCUGAAUCUAAUUAAUAUCGUUUCACCGUGAACAUGAAAAGAAAAUUUAUUUUUAAAGAGGUUAUUGAAAGGGAUCCUUUAUUCGAUGCAAAUCGAGUUACAAAGAUUGAUUUUUUCUAGUUUGUAAAAAUUGAAUGUUGCUACGUGAUUGUUCGAUAUUCGUUUCACAGUUCACUUUUUUAUUAAAUUCUUUUUACAUGUUUUUAUUGAAGCUCGUGUUUCGAGGCUGUUAACUAAAUGGAUCAAAAUACGCGAAUGAUUUUCGACCAAAAUACAUAAAAAAUAUUAUCCAUGAAAGCCAUACAGUUGAAAUUACAGAACACAGUAUCAGAAAGGAAUUAUUAGUCCACGGUGAUUCAAUUAAAUUUCUGUUUUACAUGCUUGAUUAUUUAAGGAAGCAAAUUAUUAUGUAAGUACAGAAUGCAUGAAAUUUCAUCUGAAUUAUUCAUGUUUUUACUUGGAAUCCAAGACCCCUGGAUUGUUACAUAAGAAAUAAGCUUAUGUUUUAAACAGAGCAUCGAACUUCUUAAGAAAUCAAUACUAAGCACUAUUUAAGCUAAGACGGAAGCUUUGUAGAGCUUUUAAAGUUAAUUCUUUUAUGCGAUUAACUAGCUCAGAGUGAAUACCGUUAUACUGUUCAAUAAAAUAGGUUGAUAAUGAUAUACUUUAUUAAUAUUGAUGAACAAUUCAAUUUUCAGUCUUUGAAUUUGACAAAUGUAGUUCGUUUAAAGAGUAAUAAACAAAGGGGAGUAAAAUUGCUGGAAACUGAUAAAACAGUAUUUGUUCGCGUCAGUUAAAACGCAUCAUUAUUGUAGCGGAUAACGGUCACAGAAGAAAUGAAUUUCGGUAGCAGAUUGAAGCUUGUUAUCGAGGCGGCGCGAGCGUUUUCCGCGUUUCCGAAAACCGCACGGUCCGGCGAAUUAUAUACAAAUUGUUCCAGGUCGAUACUAUUAUCGCGACCCGCUUAACGUAUGGAGACGCGGAAAAUACGCGGCGGUUAAUUUGUAAUCCCGCAGGGCACGGCGAGCGUUAUUUGAUUUUUCGCUAUCGACAAUUUCUACGCUUCUGCUCGUUGAAUCAACGUGCAAAUCGUGUUCAUGGGUUAAUUCGAAUUACUCAUUGUUAGCACAGAGACCACAUUUCUGGCUGUCAUCUUUUUCCAUCCUCUGUCUCUCGCUGAGUUUUAACGUCAUCAAUUGAUGACACAGAUAGAACUCGCAGCGCUCUAGAACUUGAUUUAUCGCUCUUCUAGGGUAACACGAUUAACCGUUUAAAAUCAAUGCCUCGAUCCGACUAAUUCGUUAGAUUCUACUAACCAUGAGUCAUAAUUCUAAACGAUGACAAGACGGUACUUUGGUACUGAAAUAUGUAAGUUUUGUUAGCUAAGAAAGUGAUAUCAUCAGAAACACUUGUCUUCCAAUUAGCUCCCAAUUAUUGCAGGAUAAAGGGGGUAAGAAACGCGUGUCAGAACGCGGUUAAGAAAUUUCGUAGACGAUGCGUGGCGCAACAAUGUUUCGCGUUUACGCGGCGUCUCUUUGGCGAAGUUUAUCAGAUCGACGGGUGCUGUUGGCGUGUUUGCUCGCGUUGCAUUUUCGAGUCUGGCGUUCGUGCGAGAAAUUAGGAAGGGCUAAUUGAAAGCGUGGCACCUAGCCACCGACGUUGCUUAAUGUCGUUUAAUAAUAAAUCGCGAGUCGAGCUGAAUUGUGCCCCGGCAUAAGCGAAGUUGCCUGGACAAUGGAACAAUUUGUCCGUCGAUGAGAGAGCGUUUAACUACGAUCCGGUUUAAAUUUAAAAAUAUUCCGACGCGCGUAACCCUUUAAGCUGUUAAGGAUUACUUUCGGAGACUUUUAAGGGAGAGGGCGGAGAAAUCGGUGCUUGAUUUCGAGAAAUAAGCUUAAUGACGCGUGCAAACGGAAGUUCCUUGUUUCUGGGACGCGAUCGAUUUUCUCGUUUUAUUCUCGCCGGAACUGCGAACGGCUCGUUAGAAAAUCGAGCGCGCAAGUGGUCCCACAGGCGAUUAGCUAAUUAAAGAGCGCCGUCUGGAUCGUUUCGAUUCGAUUGCGCCACAUUAAAGGUCGAUUUUAAUGUUUCUACGAUACACUUUACUUAUGCAAUGUAUCUGAUUUAGCACUGAUACGUUGUUGAUAAUUAUUGUCCGGUGAAAUAUAAAAUUAAAGCAGGUUAAUUUCAAUCGGUCAAUUAUAUCGACGUCGAUAGAAUCGGUCCUUUGAAAUCGGUUCGACGGUGUCGUUCUUAAUUAAAGAGCGGGGAGGAGAAAAAAGAUCGCGGUCGUUGAAUUGGUUUUGCCACGGUGGCAAAUAUUUCCGCUGACGAAGGAAUCGCGAACAAUGCUCGACGAACGAGCGAAGCGGAAAGCCAAAGCUCGACCAUCCUCUUAACUAUUAUUGACACUGCGGAAACAUCGAUACAGCGCGGCAAAACAUUCCCGCGGUAAGGAAAACGAGGAGAAAACGGUGGAAUAUGAGAAACUUCCACCGCAACUGCAUCAAUUUUCCCAUCGGCGACGUGCAAAUACUUACUUUGAAGACUUAUCGUCGGUUCAAUUAACGCAACGGCGCACGAUCCCGUCGCGGAAAUAUGUUUUCGUACGGAUGAAGAGCUCGAAAUGAAAUUGGUUUAAUUAACCGCUCGAAGGCUCGAGCGAAACGGAUAACUUGAUGUUCGGAAGUAAUUACCCUGUAUGAUAAAUUAAAGAGACAGGUUCGCAGAAUCUCUAACUAGCGACGACACUCGAUCGGUGGAAAUAAAUUAGAAAGAAAUUAAUUUUUAUCCAAAAGUUUCAAAAGUUAUUCGGUUUCGACGGAAACUAAUCCCACAAGACUAAGCUCUCCUAGUCUCUUUGAUCAAAGAUCCGUUCAUCAUCUAUGAAUCACAGUGAAAUUUCUCGUCGUUAAUAAAAGCUCAAGUCGAUGUUGCAAAUAUUUGCGGAAAACUAAUAACGAGAUGAACGAGGAGGAGUCUUGGACUGGCAAAAUCAAAUUGCGGAGCAGAGUGUGCGACGCGAACCGCGACGCAUUCACGCGGCCAGAGUCUCAUCGACUUGCAUUCCCCCUCUUUCACCUCCCUUCUUCGUAUCCGGUGUAUCUAAUACUUUAAAUUAACCCAGUUCCGACCCCGUCGCUUCCAACCUCGGCUCGCUAUUACCCGAAGCGUAACGCUGCUAACUCGGUUAAGCUCCGACAGUUGGCAAGUCACUGUUUCAGCUGUCAGCCGGAUAAUAUUCUAGCUUUCGAUUAACCAGCCUCGCUGCCCACUUCCGGUUACAGUUUCGCGAACACGGUGUCGAGCGACCGGCAAAGCGAAUGAUCGUUUCACGUAUGUUUAGCGUGACUUUUACCACGACUCCCCGCUGCGGCCGUUAAAAGAUCGACCGACCGAUUGUGUCCUUUAGCGGGAAAACGCGUGUGUUACAUCGAGCUGAGAGGGUUACUUUGAUGUAAUACUAUUAAUUCAUAGAUGGAUUAGAAAUGUAAUUAUAGCGCUGUGAAUUUAUCGCAAAAGGGGUCGGUUAAGCCGUGCGGAAUAGCGUGUAAUUUCGAAAUGGAACGCUUAUUCCGGAAUGUAAUCCAGGGAAUGAGACUCUCCGCAGCAAUUAUAAAUUUUUUUAACUCUUACCUUUUUUCCAGCUACUAUUUCUUAUUUCUAAAUUUAAGAGCGGUUGCUUUCAAGCUUCCAGUGAAAAGAAAUAUAUUUUUCUAAAAGGAUUUCGAAUUAUUCAUUUAUACAGAUAAUAUCGUACAAAGUGGUAUCAAAAGCUCCUAUGCUAAAUCCAUAUCCCAAAGGUGAUUCGCAUUCCGUGGAUCGUUGCUUCUGACGAUUUUUCCAGUCACCCUUAGACACCCUGAGACGUGGGUGCUUUCGGCAUGGUCUUCUUAACUCGGGUCUGUUCUUGGGAUCGAACUAGCUACCACUCGAACAGCUCCCAUGGGAGAGAUCGUUGCCACCUCAUUCGCCAGCCAAUGCUUGAGACCUUCCUAUUUACAUACGCCAUCUUUUCAACCCCCUCAACAUCGUCGACGCCUACGUCGUUCCACGCAACUAUCGAGGUAUUCCUUCUGAGCGACGUCAUCGAGAGCCCAUUAUGCUUGCUGAUUUGCUUCACUGAUAAGGCAAUGGAGACUUCACCGGCGACAGGGGGUGAAAGCCGGUUAUCAGGGGUAAGGGGGUCAUUGCACGGACCGUGGAACGAGCUCACGGAUGACGUCUUCUAUUCAUAAAUAUUACCAUGCGAAUAUCUUUAUCUUGGCUUCGUUGAUUCUGUUAAAGUAUCUGGAUAAAGGAGAAAGGAUAAGAACUAGGAUCCUGAACGGUGAUAGGUUCUUUUGAAAAACCGAAAUAUAUUUUAAAGGGAAAUUAGAAGGAACAGUCUGGGUUAGAUUUAAAUUAUAAGAUUGCGGUAGUAAAGAUUUUCUUUCAUUUUUAUUAUGAAGUUUAUGAAUGAUGCCAGUGAGUGUUUAUAAAGUUCGACUGCAGUUUUCAGACGAAGAAUUUUGAAAUAUUUCCGAAAGUUCCAAUGAAGAAUUCGAAAUCCCUGGACGUGGCCAGAAAGGCAUUCUCGAAGUUCCAAAGUUUACGGUUCAAAAGUUCUCGCUGAAUCUGGCGAGCUGAACGAGGAAAUUUUUCAUUCUAUCGAAGCGCGUACAAAAAGAGACGGAAGUGGACAUUCGAAACAGCUGCAAAAACCUCGUCUCUCGAUUUCAUAAAAUUUUCUUAACUACUUUGGCUGAAAUUAAAUGUAUAUUUAAGUAUAGUAUAACGUACGAACGAAGUUAUAUAGAAGAAUAUAUGGAAAGAGCUUGUUAGAACUCGUCCAGAGGAAAAUUCUACAAAGUUUCAUAUCUUUUUCCUGAAAAUUGAACACACGACGAGGUCAAAAAGUCACCUCUCGACGUACUUGAUUUUAUAUGAAACUUUUCUCAUAAAUUAGUAGUGUGUUACUUAGUAAGUAGAGAAUUUCAUGCACGUUGAUCAGUCUCGUUCCUCUUGACGUUCUCUCCUUUAUUGCUUUCGCAGACCCUUCACGUGUUGCACGUGCGCCGUAAUCAGCACGUAAACGCGUACCACUGGUACAAGCUUAAUGUCACAUCAAAGGGAAAUCCUUUUCUAGACACCAAUUGUAGGUUGUAAUCCUUCGGAGACUUCGUUUAGUAGAAAAUUUUAGUAUACGCAUUUGGAAGAACGAGAGUUACCCUUCUGUCGUUGAUUGUGUCUCCAACAAGUCCGUGAAAGGGGUUUAAAAUGCGAUAAAAUAGGAUUGCCUUCGAGGGGAUGAUUGUCUAUUAGUAAAAAAUUUAUGAAAAAUUCUUCUAAUAUCUUUGACAUGUGUACUUUUAUGUCUCUUGAGCUACAGUAGAUGUAGAAUUUUAUUUAAAGUAAAGCACAAAAGUACAUAAAUCUAACGAAUUCAUCCCUGCAACGCAGUCGACUAAAAUUACAAAGUUUGCAAUCGAUUUUCUCGUUAUUUUCGUCGUUGGUUCGUUCUGAUAACCGUAACGAGAUACUAAUUAAUAGCAACGUCUACGUCUGAAUGAGACGUUGGUUGCGUCACAAGGUGAACAAGAAGUCGUCUCGCCCACGCGACCUUUCCCUCGCCCGCAGGAGACAACAGAGCCUCGGGGAACAAUGUUUUCCACGUAAAUCAAAAGGAACUUGGAAGGGCUUCAGCCGCAAAGAACACCGGUUAAUGGCGUCGGGAAAGUUCGAUUCGUGGAAUAUCGAGUUUCACCGCGAAUCAAUCGACUUUGUUCGACUUGGCCGACACCAGACGAAUCCGUCCCGCCGAAUAACCGGCUCUCCGUGAAAGUUAACGACUUUCUUCAGCACCGAAUUUCCCGAUAACGAAGUUUCAUCACCCUACCCCUCUGUUCUGCCCCGUACCACCCCCGCCCGAACCGCUGUCGACUAACCGGAAGCGACUUCUCCGCGCCCUGUUCGGCUCACCUUUCCCUUCUUGGCCCGCAUCCGCUACGCGCCGUCGACUUUCCAUUCUUCUCGAUCAUAUUUGCUCCCACGAUGGAUUCCCGAUAUCGAGAGGAAUUCAUCGAUAAACGGACCGAAUCGAGGGAGAAAUGUAACAGGAACUGUAAAUAGAGUUGCCGGUAGGGGGGAAGAAAAAAAUUAAAGGGUCGCUUUUCGAGUUAUCUCGGUCGGGUAAGUCGUUCGUUAGCUCGUUGAAAGUUUUCGGCGGUUUGUGUCGCGACAAAUUCGAUUUCACCACGAAAGCUCGCUGUAAUUUGAUUGCUCUUGAUCGAUACUUUAAGUGAUUGAGUCCUGAACUUGAUUGUAAUUAAGAUUCUUCGACGGUUAACGUUAUUUUCUACCGGGGAUAUUAAAAAGUUUUGAGCGCCUACUGGUUGCCGUUCGUGCUGAGUUUUAAUAAAGACCCGUAUGUACAUGCAGCAUCCAUCAUGAUCACUUUUGCGUCGACACUCUAUUAAGUUUCAUUUCUUGCUACUUCGUAAGGGUUUAUUAUCAGCCGCGACCAAGUCACAAACAACGUGAUAAAAAAAUCGAGCCGUACCCCACUGAAAAUAAUUCUCAUGAAUAUAAAUUGUCGAAUCGUGGAGAUGAGUGACGGUAUAGGAAAAGAAAGGAUGCUUCGUUCUCUGAAAUUGACUCUUUGCCUGAAAACUAAAUUCGUUACACGCCUUAUUCUGUUUUUUAACCACUUUGAUUUCACGCUUUUAUAAAUCGGAUUCGAAUUAUAGCACAAAUAGAAAAAAUAAAUAGUAAUUAUCGUACUGGAUUAUAUUAAUCUUUUGUAGGAAUUUAUAUUCGCGAACGGUAUGAUAUUAAUGAUAAAUUCGUCGGAUCGUAACGGAUAGGUUUCAUGGUGGAGCUAAAAACAUUCUGUUCGAUGUCAAAAAUUCAUCAGGGCUUAAUUGCAUCGCUAUGAAAUCCCAUUAAAAAACAUGGCCGGAAAUGAUAUAAAUUUCCAGCAUUUCCACGGAAGGAAAUCCGACUGGCUGGUUGGCUGUUCUAUUUUUCAACGGGAGAUACACGUCGAAAGCAAUUAGUCGUGUUCCGUUCACGCGAGCUCAGUUUGUUGGCUUCAAAGAGUAAUUUUACCUAAUAUCUCGAAACACUGAGUGGGCUUAGUAAAAGCUUGCAUACUUCAAAGAUAUAAUCCCCGGAGAAGACCGGAAAUUGGAUAGGAAAUGAAGUGGACUGCUGAAACAGAGAACACUCGCGCCUUCCUGCUCUUUACGCUUCCGAAAGAGUCCUACGGGUAAAGUGCACUUGGUGCAAAAUUGAAAAGAAAGAAACGCUGAUUAUCAUCGUCCCCGUGGAUGUCAAAUUAUGCUUUAAUUUCUCCUCGUCUACUCUCUCUCUCCCUCUCGAUCCACUUCAGACUUCGUUUCCUCUACUUAUCGUUUGCCAAAGCGUGUAAAUUCAAUCUGGAAAUGGUUAUGGUUAGGACCACUGGAAAUGUAUGAGAAGCGAUUAUUAAUAGCUAUUAACAAACUUAAUGGGCAGAUUAUUAGAAAGAGGACAAUUAAUUAAUAAUUUGUGCUAUGUCAAUUUAAAUCUUAAACUUUGAUCAAAAUAAUUACACAAACUAUUAAUAUCCUUAAUGCAAAAUGUCUGCUCCAACCAAUUUCCACCCUUGUAUAUCUUCAUCUAAGAAUAAUCAGACGAAUCUUCGCACCUCCCGAAUGAACUUAAAAAGAAAGAAAAAGAAGAAACAGUCACGAAGCUAAGAGGCAACGAGAUGCAGGAGAACAGCUUGAAUAAUGGAGGCUAAAAAGACUUUAUCGUUCCGCAAUAUGUAAACUUUCUCCUAAAAAGCAACGAGUACGGAAGAUGAAAAACCUUUCAAGGAUACAGCACGAUUUUUCACCUUCCCACGUUGGCCGAGCGUAAUGUGAAUUUAUGGGAUUAUUUUAUCGCGACUUGGAACCGUGUUCGCGCUUGCAACCGUACACAUCGUUGUUCUUUCAAGCUCGAGGAAAUCAGAUUUUCAUUGCUUAAUCGCGACACAUCGAACACCAUAAGAUUUUUACACGUACACCUCGCGCUACAUUGCAUAGAAACAUUUACGAACCAUGAAAUGAUUCGUUACGACCUCCUCGUUUCCGGCCAGCAAGCUGCUGCGAUGUAAUCGCGAGCUCGUACGAAUUUCCGCCAGCUUGUAAAAUAUUAAAACGUAAUCGUGUUGCUGGUAGAACAGCGGCGAUAAAGUAGACGUGUUGUAGCUUCCUAAAUAUUGAAACAAACGUCUUGCUUGACAAAUAACGAUGAAUCGGUUCAGUUUUCGAAAGCUCUGCAUUUGGUGAUGCUAAUUUAUAAAAUGGCGUUCGGAUACGCUGAAAAAUCACAAUGAAAUCUCGACAGAAUACGCCAGUGAGGAUUGAAAGCUCACGGUAUCGUCGAUCUCGCGGAGGAAGCCUCUUUCCGCUUGAAGCUUUUCCAAGCGUGCUGACGCGAGUCUCGAGCCCGCGGUACCUUGGCUGGCAGUAUCGAUCACGACUCGGCGAACUUGUCUACGGAUAAGCCUUGUGACUAGGAGCAACAGGAAAGAAAGGGACUAAGGGAAAGGAAGGGCUGAUGCGCGGCCUAGACAGAGAGGUCGACAGACUGAAAGCACGCGAACAACACAAGCCUGGCAGAAUAACAAAUGAGCGGGCCAGGGAAUGAAAGAAAGUGGAAAAUAGUCGACGACCGGAUGGUACGAGAGGACGAAAGAACGGAAGCGACGGAAAGGAAGAGCGGUUGGAUUGAACGGCGUCGGGAUGGAUGACGGGAACAGAAGGCGAUUGAUGAAAGACACUCCUUUCUUAGAAAUGUUGCCCAUGGACGAUGGACAGACCGAACUUCCGUUCCACGACCUUUUCGGCAAUGACAAAUGGAGAUGCUACGUGAGAGCUUCUCUUUCAAGUACAACCUUUCGAAGAAUUAUUGUUUUUUAAUUGAUUAGUUGAAUCAUUUUCGAAAGAUCCUAAGAUUAAAUGAAAAAUAUUCUGAAACUACGUGUCUGAUUUAGCUGUAGAGGAUCGAAGAUAUCUCGCAGAAGAUUUGAGCAAUUUUUCGAAUUUAUGAAACAUUGAAUAAAGUAGACGUAACUUCGACAAUGGAUUCUCUUCUCGAACAGUCGAUCGCUCGUAAAACACACGAUCAGCCGAUUGAACCGGAGACGGAAGCUGGGUAUCCGUGUGUGCCAUGCGUCAAUAUAAAAGUCGUUUCGACAAGGCGUGGAUUUUACAGUCAGGAUGUAAUCGCCUGUAACCGCAGCUGUUUAAGGAGCUUAAUGAGAUCGUUAGUCUGCAAUCGUUCCGCGACUUACUGUCUACUUAAUACCCACUUAAGGCUUUACGAGUGUUUAAAGAUAUCGACGCCUCUGCAGCGAGGCGACGACCAUCCUUGGCCCCCUCGUAAACCAGAAUCGAGAGAUCUUAGAAAGCUCAACCUUUGUCCUUUUUGCUUCGCGAACCAUUGAAUUCUCUGUUUUAUAGCAAGAAAUGUACCAAAUCAGCUUGUUAGAAAAGGAUCUUCGAGUCGUACGAACGAUUUAUCCUCGGGGUACUGUUGCAGAAAAUAGACUCUGAUUGAACCUGAGUUUCAAAUGAUUUUAUUGCUGUCUUCGUAUUCGGAAUUUCUUGGUGGAAAGAUUAUUCGAAAGAAUUUAUCUCUGAUUAGAACAAAAUUCAAUGUAUCUUACGAAUGAAUGAAUUAUUGCAAAAUUUUUAAAUUGAAGUAAUUAAACUCUGCAGGAUAAUUUUGUGAAAUUUAUUUAAAUUUGCACAGUUGUAUUAAAUAAAAUAGAAAUCGUACGGUGGAACGAAUAUAUGUUUAAUGUCAAUGCCGAAGCUUCUCUGAAUUUAAUGGAUUAGCAUGGAAAAUUGGGAUUAUACUAUAUUUAUUGCAUAUUCGUUUCACAUUGUCCGUGUAAUUUAAAAGUUUAAUCCAGAAAUACUUUUCCUUCGUUUAAUUAAAAAUCCGCUUUCAAAUAUUAAUGCCAGUUCAAAUUUUAUAUUUUUGAUUAAAAGAAAUUUUCCGCUGACUGAAUAAUAAGAUGUAUUCAAACGGUAGAUGGGCGGAAAAAAUAAAGGCGCGAACAGAGCAUUUUUCUAGACUGGUUUUAGAAGUUCAUUGAAGGCUCCCGUAAGGUGCAUAGUUGGAAAUCCUCUUUCUUCUCGCGAGGCAUUAGCAGGAAAAUAAGAAGAAAAAAGUUACACGAAGCCAAUGAGGAUAGCGGAGGUGCGGAAUAUUUUUCUGGGUCAGAAACUGAAUCAAGCGGGUUGCAUCAUUGAAAAGGGCUGAUGCGAGGCUCAAAGCAUUUUGUAAAGGACAGGCGGUUUCAAAGGCGCUUCGGAAACUUUCAUCGAGGUAUUCCUUCAACAGUGUGGCACUUCGAAGAUUAACGUGUCACCGUGAUAGUGUUGAUACUCUUUCAGGACUGAAAGCUCCCCUGAAGAGGAGGCAACGGUACCGUCGACCAGAAAAUAAGAGAUAAGGGUGAAAAAAAAAUGUUCCCUUGGUCGGGGACGAAAUUUUAACGUUUGCCUUCUUUACUUUCGCAUACGUUUCAUCAAUUUCCAUCUACCGUUUCAAAGAUUUAAUAUUACGUUUGGAACAGUUAUGAUUGGGUUAAUCUACGAAAAGUGUACAACUGUUUGUGAACCAAAAAAUUAAACAUUCAAAUUAAAAAAGAAAUUUUAAAAACUCUCCAUACUUUUAUUUAUAUUACGUACAAAAUUUAGGACAUGAAACAGUCUUCUGAAAAGUUGGAAAUUGUUAUUUCACGGUUAAAAUGAAUUUGACUUUGAUUACAAAAUGAAAGAAGGAACGAAGGGAAGGAAACGUAGCUGAGGGAUGAAAAGGGUGGAAAAUUCCUUCAGAAAGAAACGAUAAAUCUUUACAGUUUGUAAAUCAAUCAUCUUCAAUAAGUGCUAACAAAGAAAAAUUACCAUUUUGAAUUCCUCCUACAAAAAUCUUCUAACCAAUAAAUUCCUGAUCGCAAAACUUUCUAUCACCGGUUCUACUGAGAAUUUCACGUUCGCACGAUCGCAGCUGGCUACAGUGUAUCGGAAUGGUUCAUCGUAUUUCGUUUCAGCUGGCAACAAUCUAAUUAUUAGAUUCCUUACGGGCUGUAACGGAGGUUUCUGCGGCAACGAGCGCAAUCUAAGCUCACGGCUUGAUCCGGUCGUAAGAUUAAAUUGAAUCUGCAGGAAGGUUCGACGAUCAAGUAGGUCAGGCAGGUUGCAACCGAACGGUAUGCGUGUUGCCGGGGAGUUUGAAAUGCGGCGAGGCUUUGCCAUUCAGGGCCAACUUGCCACAUAGUUGACCAUUAGUAUUAAAAGCUGCUUCGAAGCAGAGUUUCGGUUCGCCUCCUUUGUCGUGAACCAUGCUCGCACAUGGUUCCUCGACUCCUCGGUAAUUCUGUUGUUUCACCAAACACGUCCGUGGCCCUGAAACUUAAUCAAUCUGCUCUCGUUAAAGCAAUUAACUUCUGAUUCCUUAAAUCAAUUUUCAAGGUAGUUAUUUUCGUACCAGAUGUCUUUCAAGAUUUCGCAAUAGUAAACAUAAAUGUUUCAUGCACUGUUGAGUUGUUAGUUUCACGGUUUAAAGAUACAAAGAAGAACAUGCACGAUUCGUGAAACGAAUCUGAGAACAGAUCACGCGCAAAUGCGAGGUCGUGUUGCGAAUCAGCCGGUUAUGCAAGCAAGAAGAACGCUUCUUCGAUCAGCUUCUUCGAAGGGGAAAAGAAGAGCAUCGUGAUAAAUUUGCAUGAAUAAGUUACUUCCGUCGUACUGUUUACUCCGUUGAGUGGCUGUAAAGCUGCAAGUGUUUGCGUCAAAUCUCAAUGAUACCCUGAAGUUUCGUGUUGCUUAUUCACCAUCGACGCGACGCCACGUAAAGGAAGCUGCUUCUUUCAUCGUUGUCUGUUGCGAGGAAUAAGCGAGGAAUUUUCAGGAUCAAGUAAUUUGAAUAUUUCUAAAGCUCGAGUAGAUAAUUCCCGUUUCUUUUUAAUUAUUUUCUUCUAAACAUCCACUUGAAAAACAUCUUAAGUUUGUAACAAGAGCAGUAAGGAACUCAGAAUUUAUUUUGCAUUAUCUAAAAAUUCGUUCUAUUGAUAUUAAUUGCUUCUAGAGUGUAUUAACGCUUGAAAAUAAUGCUGAAACUUGGUGAACAAAGUUUAAGUUUUAAUACUUACUCUGAACUUCGUGUUCUUGCUAUUUUUCAUGAAUUUUUCAUUGGGAACUACAAUCAAGGUACACUAAGGAGAAGUCUCGUGCAUCUAUUAACCUCUUAAGUAUUCGGUAUUAAACUGUGUACUUUGCUUGUAUCAUAUUUUCAUGAUUUUAUUAUCGAGUUUAUUUUCAUUUUUGCAUUUGUGCUUAUUUACUUAUUUAAUCUAUUAAUUUUGUAUUCUAAAAAUCAUCUCUUUAAAUGGGAAUAUCCCCUUAUCUAAAGGGUGUUAGCAUGUUCAGUUGAGUGUAAAUGAAACUAUCAAAAUAUUUUCCUUAUUUCGAGCAUAUCGCUUCCGUCCCAUCUAUUUUCCUCAAUUUCAAUGGUAAUGUUCCGACAAUCCCCUUUUCUUACCCCUAUUUUCCGCGUCAAUUACCUUCGAGCAAACCAUAGUGGACAGCAUAGAAGGUUCGAAAGGCCAGGCAGGAAAUAACGAUAGGGCUGUGUCUUGCCGUGUGACCGCACAAUAUGAAAGGGAGUGUAAUAGAUAUUCACGCACAGGAUCGUGCGUGAUUUUGCUCCUAUCCUCUUCGAUUGUUCGCGAAACAAGGGGUUGUGUGUUGCAUCAUCGACCGUCUGACACACGUUACACACACGUCACGUAAACAUUGACGUGUGCCGACCGGCUCUGUAAUUAUGCUGUCCCAAUGAGCAUUGUUACGUUUCGAUAAGCAAUCGCUUCGACCUACGAGACAAUCGCUUCGAAUUCGAUCCCGUCCCCUUUCGACAUCAUCGCAACUUCGUGCCGUGUUUCAAAUUCUUCGUGACUAAUCGCAUACCAAGGUAUUUGUAAUCGGUAAUUGAUUUGAAAAAUUUUUUUCGAUUCUUAAAUUAAUUACUGCUUAUACAAAUUAAGAUGAAUUUUGAAGAGAAGAAUUGCGUGCUUAGGAAAAUGAUCACAGUAACCAAGUUUGACGGUGACAAUCGAAAACGGUAAUAACUGAUCUAUGAAAUCGGUUGAAUCGCGAGGCGCUGUAUUAUGUUCGCGAGUACCAUUAAAAGUGCCAUUAAACCGCGCGAAUUAAUCGGUUCGCGUGAAACCGUGUUCCGUCCAGUUGCCUCGACCGCGUCAAACAUCGUUAGGAUCCGCGUUCGAACGUAUUAAUUUACAAAAUAUUAAUUCACAUUGCACCGGGUGACGCGCCGAUGAACUUCCAACGAAUCGAGCAAACAUCGGCUCGUACAAGUCGACCUGGUCCUGAGCUACUAAUUCCGCCGCUUCAAUGAGCAUUGUUACGUUUUAACGAUCAUUGAAGUGUAGUAAGGGACAAUGGGACUGAUUACAGCCGGAUGAAAUCGUAUUUUCAUGCGACCCAACGUUGCCUCGCUCUUUAUUCAUCGGUCUGCGAAAGAACUGUUUUCGAAGCAUUCGCCGAAGCCCAGAAUAAAGCAGAUCAAUAAUUAAUGAACUUCGGUAUUAUUACUUAAACGAAGAUAUUCAAACUGUUAUAAAUUAUUUCGUAAUAUAAAAAUUAAAAAAUUAAUUAAAUCACCCCGGAUUUUUGAUCAACAUAGAAUUUAAUUGAAAGAAGAGAAAAUGUAAAGGAAAAUAAUCAGCUUGGGAACGUUGUUAUCCGGUUUAUCUGUCUUAUUUGAAAUGUCUUAUUCGCGAAAUUUCAUUAGUGCGCUAAAAGCGGCAGUUGUGUAAUAUGAAUAUGCAAUUUUAUGACCACUCAGGGGAAACUCACGUACCUACAUAAGCGAGUUAUGUAUUUUCAUCCCGCGAGGAGGGGACUUUCCGACUUAUCCGAGAGAAAAGUUAAGCUCGGACCAGAGAGUACAAAGUGUGUACACGAGCUAAUAGGGAUGAAGAAAAAGAGUGACACAAUUUUGUACUAAAAAAUUGUAAUAUUUCUCAAUUAAGAUAAACGUUUCAAAUCUUUCAUUACCCCGAUCUUGUUUCAAGGUUGACCGAACACGAACACCUGUUAGGAGAUUGCCAUCUUUAAUAGCGGUUAAUCGUAUUCGCUCUGUUGACAAGCAUGAAACUGUUCGUGUUUCCAUUAUACACUUGCUCGGAUAGUUGUCCGAAGGCGACCUACCAGGUGAACCGUGAAACGAUUAACGACAAAGUCCCGAUGCUUGUUUCGAGGGUGUGUCACGUGCUUUCUCAUCAUGCGGUGCGUGACGAAUUGUUACGACGUCGUUCCACGCUCGUCCCCGAGCCUUUUUCUUUCGCCUGAAAGUCGAUGACCGUCGACAACGCCGUGUUCACGCGUCGUCAUUUUUCACCCGUUGAGAAUCGACCGGCUCCACUCUGUCAUGGCAUUGUUCGACGGCAAGCAAGUAGAUACGACCGACCAGUAGAGCCAGUUAGCUUUUUCCUGCCACAUAAUCGACUCGUGGUCUUGGUUAAAUCAUGUUCACCAGUCGAAUCGAGUCUCCCGAGUGUUUGACCGAGUUGUUUCCUUGAUCGAAACGUGUACGCCUUUCCCUACCUCCUGUUUCUGAUCGAGUAAUAGGAUCGAUCGAACAGCGUUUCUAGUUGAAAGAGCUUUCCAACGAACCUAACGCUCACGAUCGAUUCGAUUCUCGCUUAGAUAUCUGUUUGAGCCGCGAUUCUGAUCGACCGGUGCUUUUGAUCGAACGAUGUCUCCGAUUUAAUCGCUUCAGGUCAACUAAUGGGGUUAUUCUUCUAAUUAAAUUCUACCUGCGAUCGAAUUUUAUUUCCGGUUCAACUUGUCUUUUAAUUGGUACGUGCUUUCGAUUGAACUGAGCUUACACGUCUUAUUGGUAUUAUAAUCAGGUAAAUGGUAUUUAAAUGAAAUAAUAGUUCCAGAGAACCAUCCAUAGUAUUCCAGUGUUCUCUAAUAUAUCGUUUGCAAAGUGUUCCCCGGAAAGCCGAGGAAAAAUUUGCGUCUUCUGGGUCGUUCGUUCGUUGAACAUCUUUCACGCUAACCGCAGAAACGGGGUAAUCCAAUUUCUCGUGAUAUUACGUAACAGCAUGACAAAGUGGAUUAUUUUUUUUCUGUCGUUCUCGGACGGUGCGUCGAGGCGCGGCACAUUCUCGUUAAGUAAUUAGUUUAUCGACGCUCGUCUGGACCGGAAGCGGGCAUACUCGGUUGCUAUUAAAUACGCGAUAAUAAUGAAAUUUCCCGACGGCUUUCCCUCUAUCCUAGCAAGAAGACAUCCUCGCGGAACUGAUAAAAAACAAUCUAGACCAUUCUCUGGCGAGAACAAUUCUUGUCUUCUGAAAACUUUCUGGGAAGAAAUAUUCUGUCCCAAAACUUUUCGAAGGCGAAUGGUGCCGGGUUACAAUAGGCUUCAUUUUCGAAUCUAUAAUAAUUCAAUGGAAAGAGGGUGCGGGAGAAAGAAGAAAUGUUGAAGAAGAAAAAGGGAUCACGGCUCGGUGUGAUCCAUGCAGAGACUUUAACGCCAUUUUCACGCCUAAACGUAAUUUAAAAGUUUGCAAGUCACGACAACGUGCGCGGCGACACCCUGUGCUGUUAAUGAAAACUCCCUCCGACUCGCACUUUCAAUUUUCCGGCGUGCGCCACUGCUUCCGACCUCCUUUCUUCCGGCCUCUUCCGCCGUCUGUUCUUUGAGCCCUCUUCGUUUCCCCGUAGAACGCGUCUGGGUUAGUCAUUUUUACCCUCUUAACGGCUGUUCGCUCGGUAUACAAGUUCCUUGUCUUAUAAGCUGGCGGGUUCAUAUUCUUUUAGUAGAAGGUUCCGUUGUUGCUAUCGUUUAUUCCCUCGCCGUUUCGUACCCUUAUCUCUCCACGAGCAUGUUCUUCUACCUCUUCGAGUCGCGUUUUGCUGAAAAUUGUGUCCAUGAAAAUAUUGGAAACUCCCUUUGAAGUUCAUUUUAUACAGUACUAGGACCUCUGGGACUCUUCCCUUCAAUCUUUCUGCUUCGUUUACGUACACGGGUUUUGUUGAAAAUAUUUGAAACUUGAGGGAAUAUAAUACAAAGGGUUAUUGCUUCUCGAUGAAAUUAAUAUUGCUGUUAAUUAGCCUUUGGUAGGAUUGAAUGCAAUUAUCGUGCAUUUCUUUAAUAAAAUAAAAAUUUGCAAAAGAUGGAAAUUUAAUUUAUUUCUAUCUCUGAUAUGAAGAAUAUUCGUCGUAUUUUUUCGAGAUAGAUUUUGCAGUUAAAAAUUAAAUGAAACGCGAGCCAGCCGUUUCGGACGGUUUCUCCGAGCAGUUUUGCGCUGCUUGCAACGCGUUUUUCCAAAGUGGCUCGCACCAGAAAGCGAACACACACGCGGAGGGGCGGAACAUCGCGAUGGGGUGCAAAUAAGCGCAAAAUGACUGUCGGCAGCUGGCCAUAUUGGCGUGAAGUUGGAAAACGUCGGCGAUACGCGAAAGCUUGACACCGAUCCGCUCAGAAUUCAUAUCUCGCGAAAGUUUAACGUCGUCGACAGGCAUCGACGUCGUCGUAGGGUGAGGAAAAAAUAAUUUCGAGCAGCCUCGAACGAGCUAGGGAUUUUACGAUCGCGUGUCGUCGAACCGUUUACGCGCUGUAAAAAAAAUAUCGCUGCUCAGCGAUAAGAAAGGAGAAAAUUAGAUGGAAAUUGCUGUUCGACAGUUAAGCCGAUCAUGAUUCCUCCACUUGUUGAUUCCGAUGACUUUAAUAGGAAUCAGUGUUUUAUAACUUGUUUUAAUUUGUAUAAAACCUCUUUCUUUUCUUGUCAGUGAAUCUGAGCAAUCGUGAAUCUUGUAAUUUAAUUCCAAUUAAUCAAAAAGAUCCUUUUUUUUAAAUAUCAAUGAAAUUUAAACGUCUGUGUGUAUUUAGUUUCAAUAAAUCUUUCUGACAACAAUAACAAUGAUAGGAGUUCUCGUUUUAUCGUGAUUCUUGAAAAGCAUGUCCCAAGACACAUUGAAAUCAGGGACGCCCUUAGUUCAGUGCCAAAGGAAUCCGGUACAACGCUUUACGGGUUGACAUUUAUUGCGCCACUCUUUUCUCUCGAUGCCAACAGAUAAAUAUCGGCGCGAGUUCGCACCAGGUCGUGGAAAGAAAUUGUGAGAGAAGCGAGCGUGUGUGUCCCGCGAGAAUAGAAACUCCGUUGAGAACGGGGCUCAGGAUUUUCGGUAAAGAGCGGUUCGACUACGUUUACCCUUUUUUAUUCGUAGCAUUAAAUUGAACGAAAUUUCCUUGCUGAAAUUAUAUGUCACCGAGACUUACUUCCUAACCAUCGUAUUAUAAAAUUUCCUGUUCGUUCCAUCAUUUUUUAUUAUUUUAUUUGGCAAGACUUAUAUCUCAAAGUGUUCCCCUCGAAUUUUAGUUUAAACUUUUAUGCUCCACGGCAGGAAUAUUUGCCUGCGUCUCGGGUCUCGAACCUCCUUGUUCGUAUUUUUCAUUUCAAGUUUCUUGACACUAUACUCGGUACUAAAAGAAUCAGGAAACUUUUGAAAGUUGCGAUAUUCGAGGCGAAGUGGCAUUAAAGUAAGAAGAAAGAGGGAAACGAAAAUUUCGAGUAAAGGGAAACGCGUAAAAUUUUGAACGUCUACCAGUGAAAUCUAAUUUUGUAUAACAGCGAGGAUUUGAGAGAUUGCAAUUUUGACCGAUAAUUCAUCAGAAGAGGGUGGGCAUGUUAAGUGUCGGCAUAGUUCAACGCGAUUACAACGUGCGCUCUAAACAUGCUCGUUUCUUGCAAAAUUUAUAGGCGAAUUUGUGCAUAUGAGCCUUGCCUAAUACAACGCGCUCCAUGUAAGCGCUCUUCAAUGGAAAUAACCGCAAAGCUCAUACGGCGUAAUUAAUGCGGCCUACUAAAUUUAUUUUAAUCGCCGAGAUUACCAGGAAUAAUCACCGCUAAGUGGUGUUCGCCAUCUAAUAUCGUUGAUACCACUGUUUCGCUAUUCGAGUAAAUCGUGCGUAAUUAGCAGUAAUGUUACACGAUUGUUGCUUGAUCAUUUGGUUACUCUAUAAAUGGAGGAAAUUCGAUAUCCUAAGCUCGCUAACGAAAUCAGUUUGCGAUCGUUACACGAAGAUUCGCGAUUUGCGAAGAAAUGGAAUACUGUGAAGAUAAAUAAAUUAUACUCAGUCUUAUCUUUGAUACGUUGAGUUGCUCGUUAAAAAAUAUCUUUUUUUAGAAAGAGAACAGAGUAUAUCAAAGCAGAUCGUGAAAGUUUGAAGUAUUCGAUUCAUGUUCUGAAUAAUAUAUUGGUAGAAACGAUUUAGUUGCCUGGUAGAAUGAUAAUUCAGUAAAAAUACAUCGUAAAGUCGAUCGCCGUCGGUGAAAUCGGUACAUUUCGGAGGAGGAGAAGAAAAGGAUUUGGUUCGCGCAAGUUGAGCCUGCUAGUCGAUGUUUCCACGAAGGCUCGAGGUCCAAUAAAGCUGUCGAAGGAAAUAUUCUCGUGGAAAGUAUCCACGGGGGCUUCGAUCGUCCGCGAGUCGGCCGGAUGCAAUUCGUCUGAAUCUGCAUUGAAUCGCUGCAAGGCCCGCAUUGUUCAAGUCGGACCGGUGUUACGGACAAACGAGAGAAUUGAUAUUUUUCCGUCGUCCCGCAUAGAUAAUGCCCCUAUUGAAUUGCAUUCGUCGUGAGCGACGGUUGAACGAACGAAGAGAAGUAAAAAAAAAGAAGAGAAAAGCGAAACGAGGAGAAAAAAAUGGCGAAGGAAAAACGAAGAAGAUGAAAAAAAGAUAAUAAUAAUUGGAUCGUAGAAGAAGUCGACGGCCUUCUAACAGGCUUGGCUUGGUAUUAUUUCACGAAAUAUUACUUUCAAUCUCUAACGAAGUACAAGCCGUCGCUUCGAACAAUCUUCAUUGUGCCAGAGCGCAACAAAAGGGUGUCAUUAAACGUGUCUGGCGGCACGUUGCUGCCACCGAGAAAAGAUUAGGCGGCGGCUGGUUUUUAAUUUAAUUGUAAUUAAAAGUAAACGAGGCCACGCGUUCCACGUUAACGACCUUAGAACUCACGGUCUGGUGAAAUUAUAUAGGCUACCUCGUCGAUUGUGAAUGAAAGUUUCGAUUGUCCUCCUCUUGGUUUCUCUCGAUUUUCAUCCUUUCCCGUGGAAAAUUUUCGUAAUCAAAUUAAUUAUCUUUUUCUCUCUUUCUGUAUUUUUCUAUACAAUUUCAGAACAUAGCUUCAGUUAUUCAAUUCAAUGCUCGUAUAGCCAACUGGUUCUCUAUUUUUGUAUUUUAUUUCAAUAAUGAUUUAUGUUCUGAUAAAAGGAAUACGAGUUUCGAAUUUUCAGAAAUAUAUUUUAUUCUCUCUCGAUCUUCCACAAAAUAUUUUAAAACAAAUACAUAAAAAUGGUCUGGUUAUUCGGUUCAAUAACGCCGGAAUGGCUGUCGUCUCGCGGUCUGCGGGCAAUUCGUUACGAAACACCGCGAAAGUUUCGGGUGUGAAUAGCAAGCUCUUAAACAGGGCGCGUUCAACCACGAAAUAAGACACUAAACAACGGGCACAGUGAAAAUCUUGUCCGUCGCGAACAUGCAAGACCACCUUCAAGGGCCAUUACUCGCGGGCCAAUAAUUAUUCGCCGGCCUCCACGUAAGACAGGCCGCCAUUGUGAGCCCUAGCCGCUUUCAAUACGAUUGUCCCUAGCGCUGCUUAUUGUCGAAAGUUUCCAUUGUCAUUAUUAUUUCGUCGCAUUAUGUCCGGAGAUUUAUGGGCUCGUGUAAUUUCGCUUCGCAAGGUCCUGAUCGCACGAACCGUUCGACGUAUCGUGGCUUCUAUUUCCACAACGUGAGAGCGAACUUUAUCGGGAUCGCCAUUUCUUUUUUUAUCAAAUCAAAUGAAAUUGUACUCUUAAUUUUCUAUUUGAUCGGAUGGAGAUAAAAUAUCCCAACUCUGUGUUGUAUAAAAUAAAGAUCAUUCAUUGUCUGUCAAUAAACUAUUAAAACGGUGCGAAAAUAGCACGGAAUUGAACAAUCCUCUGUUCCAACGUCGACGAAUGGAACAUGCCUUAAUGGAGACCGAUAAUUAGGUUUCAAGUAACCAGAUCGAGGAUUGACGUUCGAUUGGUCGCAGUAUUCCUGCACGAAUUUGUAAUUCUCCGACAAAGAGGGUCGAGAGGAAGGAAUUGGUGAUGGGUGUCUGCAAUUUUGUGGUGCAAGCCUGACGAUUUGCAUUGCAAGACCACGUCCUAGCCGAGACUUCCUUCCUUGAACGAGCUCUAAUUCUCGAGGACCAGCCAGACGUCCGAUUUCCGAUUUUCUGGUCCCCCUUCCUUGAGAAUCCGGAAGUCGGUGUUCGAGUGGUUCAGUCCAUUUCUGCUUCCAGCCUCACCACUCCAUUUACCCGAUUUUCCUGGUCGAUCUUUGAAUUCCGUGCACUUGCUGAUUCCGUGCUUUUUGAGAGAAUAUUUGGGGGUUGCAACUUGCCACUUAAUAUAUUGAUUACAUAGUUUAAUUUAUCCAUAGGAUUGAGGCAUCGAAUACAUAUUUCAGAUUUAAGUAUCUCACAUUUAAUUUAACAAGUCCAUUUAUUGCUUUCGAAAUCGAAAGUUAUACAGUCCGUAUUAUUGUGCAAUAACCCCUUUCUCUAAAAGAAAAUCCAGAUAAAUUCGAAAUCGUUUGCUGAACGCGACGAGCGUGAAACGCGAACGAGUCCACGCUCGAUUAACAUUUACUCGUAACAAAUUCGCGUUUACGCGACAUCAGGAUGAAUUUCAUCCCCUAAAACUUUAUACCAUGCAAUUAAGAAUAAUGCAUUCGUUACAGCAUUGCGAUAAUAGCCACUGCGAUCAACACACGGUUGGAAACACGACAUUUUGUGUUUUAUAGGGCUCGUCAAUGUUAUAGUUUAAUAUUGUGCAGCAGUAAAAACGUUGUUGAUCUUUAUGAAUAUCAUUAAUAUUUUGUGUUCUU